rnacentral:lncRNA from 1 species
CCAUUGGAACCCUUGAGAGCGAGUGUGGUGCUGUUCACUCGGACUGGAUCGAACUGGCAUUCAGCGUAGUCGGGAGUGUCACCUCUAGGUGCGACCCACUUGUCUGUAUCGGCCUUCCAGUAAUUGUUUGAAGUCCAGGAGGCGGCUUGGUUGGAUCGAAGAGCUAUCUUGCCGUUCAGGAGAUACGCCACCUGGUCGAGGGCCCUGGGAAUGUGAAAACAGAUGAAAGACGAAACCAGCAGUGUACCUGGUGGGUGGUAACACGAAUAUCCGCGGAUUCGUUUGUGAAAGCGAACUGGUCCGGGAAGCCUCCAAUGCCCAUAGGCUCGGAGAGGCAGCUGAGGUACUUGGCAUUGUUACCUUUGAGACCCACGUACUCGGGCAUGUUGACAACGUAGUAGGACGACUCCACCACUUCUACCAUGGAAACGAUCUCAUUGGGCUCCUUGAGCAACGCGUGGUACUGGGUGUUGAAGCGCUUGAGGAAGAGACCGUCGUGGACGGAGGAGAGUGCCACCUUUCCUGGGGCGACCUCGGGAUGGAGCUUGAACCGGUUUGAGGCAUCGGUGUCGCUGGGUGGGUUCUUGAGGUCGGCUACCACAGCAGAGGUGGAGGAGUGGCGGCGCCAGAAGUGCUUGUUGGCGGAGCAAAUGACGAAGGAGGCGUUGGAAUCAUUGGCAUUGUAGACCGCCUCGUGUGUGGUGUAUCGGGUGGUGGUGUCGGACUCGAAUGCAAGGGUGCCAUCGGACUUAAGCAUGAGGUACUUACCAUUGUCGGCUUUGAGAGAGAAGAAGCGGGGAAGCUUGAGCAAUGGGGAUUCUGGAUUUGGGGUCUGAGCCAUUGCUGACAGACACAGAGCAAAAGAAACUUGGGCUGGAGGUUUGAGAGCUGCGUAUCAAGUUAGUGCUUCCACAAUGGCUUGGAAUUACGAUGACAAAAUACAUGUGCAAAGAGUAUAUGCCAGCAGCACAGUAAAAUUUGUUGGUUGUGAAUUAUGAUGAUAAAAUACAAGUGCAAAGAGUAUAUGCCAGUAGCACAGUAGACUUUGUUUGUUGUGAAUUGCGAUAACAAAAUACAAGUGCAAAGAGUAUAUGCCAGCAGCACAGUAAAAUUUGUUUGUUGUGAAUUAUGAUGAUAAAAUACAAGUGCAAAGAGUAUAUGCCAGUAGCACAGUAGACUUUGUUUGUUGUGAAUUGCGAUAACAAAAUACAAGUGCAAAGAGUAUAUGCCAGCAGCACAGUAAAAUUUGUUUGUUGCUGAUCUCUCUCAUGCAUUAUUUUGGGUUCACUAUUGGUUUAUCUAUCCAAGUUCUAUUUUAAUAUUUUGGUUGCGUCACUACAAGAAACAACAAGCAGGCCUCUCCUUGCCGGCACUAGAAUAGUAAAAUUUUAUAUUCCAAAAUUGAUUAUAUCAAACCUGACUAUGUCUACUCUACAUUGUGUCAUAUCUCACAAAUUUGUUCAUCUCUAUCUAUUCCACAUAUAUAUCACAAUGAUAGGGAUGGGGUGGGUGGUGUGGCAAACGAUUGAAUUAUACUGCAAUCACAUCAAUUUAAAACACAUAUGUGUUUUAUUAUUGAAUUGUUUAAACAGACAUGUGUAACUCACAAAAUAAUCUUGCAUUAGUGCAUACCACACACAGACACACACACACAUGUAUAUAUAUAGCAAAAUUCAAAUCAGUGCCACUUGCAUUAGUAUUUGAUUAUGUGCAUGAAAAAAUAUAUUAUUUAUCUUUAUUUUAGUAAUAAUGUUGCAAAGUACUUCUUCUUAACAAAUUAGUAUACUACUUUAAAACAACAUCUUCCUAUACAUCUCAAAACUUACUAAUACCUAUAGAACAUUAAAGUUUCCCAUAGAUCUAUAGUAUAAUGGAACUCAUAGGUAUUUAUUAACUUUUAAAUGACAAAGCCAUUAUAGAGCCUAUAAUGCUUUUGAAUUAUAUUGAAUAUGACUAAUGACACAAUUUUGAGAUUUCUCUCCAUAUAUACAAAAGGAUCUAAAACUCUUGUGACUUUGAGAAAUAAAAAAUGAUUGCUUAAAUGAAAAAACAAGUCAAUUGUCUUAUUGGAAUGGUUUUAAUAAUAGUAAGGCCACAGCAAUGGGGUCCACUAUGCACACAUUAUGUUGCUUGGUGGACUUCAACACCAAAACUGCUAAUAACAACACAAAGCAAGUUUGAAUAAAAUCCACUAAUGUUUAGUAGGAAGAGAUGGAAAUGCAUAAAGGUAGUCAUAUAAAGUUAAGUGUAUAUAAAAUUGUAAACCAAGAAAAAAGCUUGGAGGAUUUAAAGAUAGAAUGUGCUAGAGUUGGGAGGCCACUCCUAUAUGUGCCAAAUUUGCUAUUAACCAAAUAUAACAUCUAUAAAAAAAAUUUAAUAACAAUGUCCAUGAAAUCUACUAUGGGCCUCCCUUUAUUGCUUUAUUGUUAUAAAUAUUAUACCACCAAGGAAUUAAUUAAAAUAUAAAAAAGUCUUUAAAGAUGUUUUAAUGGGAUGAAAAAGUGUUUCAAAUGAAAACCAUCUUUCAAAUCUAUAUAAAACAUACAUGUACAUAUGUGUUAAUUAUUAUUGACAUUUUCUUGACACUUCAUCUAGAUAAUCUAUAAGUGAUAAAGAAAAAUAUUUAAAAAAAUUUAAAAACCUAUCAAAGAUGAGAUAAAAAAAUAAAAAAUAAAAAUAAAAAAUACUUACUUUGAUUAAAUAAAAAUGCUCUUCAAUCCAAUCUUAUAAACUUCUUAACUAUACUUUAUUUACUUUAGCACUUUAUUCCAUGAAAUGAAAUGAAGAGAGAGAGAGCAAGGAUCUAAAUAUACCUAGUAUAGAUGUAUUUCUUUAAAAACAUCAUUGAAAUUUAUAUAUACUUUUGAUAUAUAGAAAUUCACUUGCUAAUAGUGUUACUAUAAAAAAGAAUAAAUAAAUAAAUACAUUGGGUAUGAGUGGACUACUUGAAUUUACUUGGAAAUGUUUAUAACUUUUUUUAUUCAAUUUCAUAGACUUUAUCCCAUUUUUACUUUUAGGAAUUUGAUCCUAGAGCAUCUUUAUUAUAUAAAAGCCUCAAUGCAAAUAAAAUAGAAAUGAUUUACAACCAUUAUAGAGGGAGUAUUAUGGCAAGAGAUAAUUAUAUAUAACAAUAAGAAUUUUUCAUUGGUACCUAUGACUUUUAUAACCUUAUAGGGCAUAUAAUUUAAAUACAUUUCAAUUGCAAACAAUUAAGUUGGACAUCACUGUCUUCAACCAAGGUGCAAGGCUACCAAGACCAAAUUAAAAUCAGCAAAAGCUCACUACUCUCAUAAAAUCUAAAAAAAAAUGUAAAGUGCAAUCUACUAUUAAACAUAAUACUACAAAAGAAAGGUACAAGAGUUACCUUUUUAAAAAAAGUGCAACAAUCACUUUUUUACACCAACUCUAGACUCUAUUUAACUCAAUUGCCUUUAGCCCCAAAAGUCAAUAUCACUUUUGGGUCACAUCAUACAAACUAUAUAUUAAAGUUUAAGUUAACCAAAGUUAACUCCAACCCUUUCACUAAUGUGUAAUGACUUAUGAAAAUGGAAUGGUUUACAGGUAAAGUGACUAACAUGUUAACCAUUGGAAUAGUCUAAAAAAAUUUGUGGAAAAUUUUCUAUCCUAAAGAAAGAAUGACUCUUAAUUUAAAAAUACAAAAUUUCAACUAACUUCCUCUUACUAACAACUUCACAAAUGUUCAUUUCAAAAUAAAUUCUAUAUGCAUAAGUACUGAAUAUUAUGCUCAAAUUUCUGCUAACAUCAAUAUUUGCAAAAAUGUAAAUAAAUACCCAAGACUCAAUCACGAAGACCAUAUCUUUGGAUAUCCACAUUGCAUUAACACUCUUCUUCAAUCACCUUCAAAAUCUAAUAUGAAGCUAAAACACUAAUUAAAAAAAUGACAUAAAAAAUCAAGGUCUAAAGAAAAUUCUUUAUCACUCAAAAUAAUAAUGUCACUUCUAUUAACACAAAUGCUAGCAAUGUCAAUGCCUUAAUUUCACACUUUUUCCAUCUGACAAUCUACUCCAGGUGCUAACAGAUCAACCAAUAAGCUAUCGCAAAUGAAUGGAACAACUUUUUCUAUCACUUUACAGGCAAAUCUUCAAGAAAACAAAGUAUCAAUUUAAGCUUAGUAUAAUGGGUCAUCAUUGAGAACUUAGUCAAAGCUACUUCAAUGCUACUAUAUACAAAUAAACUCCACUUCAUGGUUGAUUAUCAUUUGAUAAAGCAACUUCAUAAACACAUUACUUAUGACCACAUAUAUAUAUGCUUUAUUUCGUUAAAGUGGAACUUUUCAUUAUCCCACUUAUGGUGUGUGGCCACAUGCCAUUUUUAUAACAACAAUAAAAAAUUGAAGUUUUAGCUUUAUAAUUUAUAAAUUAAAAACUUUUCAUAUGAUUUUGUGUUAUAAUAUUGUGAAAUAUAAAAAAUAAAUUAAAAAACUGAUAGAAAUAUUAAUAAAUAUUAAUUAAGUACUAGGAAAUGGCAUGUGGACACAUGCUAAUUAAUGUCCCACUUUACUGAAUAAGUUCCACUUUAACGAAAUAAAACAUAUAUGAUAUAUAUACAAUGACUUGAUUAUCAAUUGAACAACAACAUGAGCAAUACCUAUAUCAUUACUAUAAAGGCUUAUGUGAGUAUCAAGUGCCAACUCGAUUCAGCAAAAUAUAACAUAAAUGCCAUACCCCAUUAAUAGAGAUUUACAACACUCAACACCAUUAACUUUUAUUCACAACAUAGACAAGUUUAUGCCACUCUCUUUUUGACUAAAACUCAAUACUAAUCCAACACCAAGCUAUUCAAAGAGUAAUAACAAGGUUCCCCAAAAAAGAAUUAAGUAUUGUAGUCUUUAAUAGCAAGUAAAAUGAUUUAGCAUUUCACCACUAUUCAUCCCAUAACUCACCAUUUGUAAAACCAUCAUAACUAACAUCCAUUAAGAUAAGGACUCUUGAUUAUAUGAUGUGAACAUAAGUAAUAAAUUAACACCUCAUUGCAAAUCAUCUCUUGAGGAAGAGAAGAUGAUUUACGUGUUUAAUCCUUUGUCCAUAAUGACUCUCUUUUCAAACUCAACUUUGAUUAAACCUCCAAUUUGCAUUUGCACUGCCUUUAAUCCAAUCCAAGAAAAGUUUAUAAGAGAAUGCGGCAAUGACUAUUUGAAUUAAUAAAUUAAUCAUUAUAGUCUUGAUUGAUUCACUUAAUCAUGAAAAAUAACCAUAUGUCUAAAGACAAUGAUACAAAACCCAAGUUUUAAGGCCUUGGGCCACUAAAUGAAGAAAUAGAGCCAAAUUUCUAAGUUUGUAACCAAUGAGUGAAGAAAUUGGCACAUGAAGUGACUCUUGAACAUUUAGCCUAAAGAGUGAAGGGAUAAGAGCACAGAACGACUUAAAACAAUCUUAAAGUGACCAACAUCCUAAUGCCAAGACCAACAUACAAAAUAAAGACAAAUGGAGUAGCAUUAUUUCAACAUAUUAAUGCCCUAUUGUGAGGAUAUGGGUACUCCAUUAGUUAGCAUGGUGUGGAACUUAGACUUAAACCUAAAUUAAACGCAAAACAAAGAUAGACACAAAAAUUAAAGUUAGACUAUGCUUUAAGUUGAUCAGCUAUGCCUAACCUAUUAUCCCUACUAUACAUUUGGAACCCUUUGCAGCUCCCCCCCACCCUCCCGCUAGGAACACAUGCUUUAAUCUUUCACCCUUAGUAUAAGAAGUUAGUCUUUACGACAAAUUUGAAACUUAUUAAAUAUAGAAUGGUGUUAGAUUGCGAAUUUGGAUAUGGGAUAAACACCAUUGUAUUUAGGACAAUCUCUAUAUUCUAUAGAUAUGCCAAAUUAGCAAAUCUACACACUUUUUAUAAAUAACAAUUGAAACCGAAUGCUGCUAACACAAGGUGUAUGAUAGCAAGGGUGUUUGACAAACAUGGUAAGCUAUCAUUUAGUAAAUAUUGAAAGACCAAAUUCAAUAUCACAGGGGUUCCCAACACUAGCAAAUGCAAGUCAAUGACAAGAGUUUCUCAAACUAGGUUGAAUAUGCUUAGCAAGGAAUAUAUAAGAGUUCCUACCCUAUGUUUAUUCAAUUUAAGUACACGGCCAUUGAUUAGUUUCUCAACUAGCUUAAGUGGAGAUUAAUAAAAGAUUUAGCAAUACCAAUUUCUUGCCGUCAUGGCAGUAAGGAAAGAAUAUCCAAAAGGACUAAUUGACAAAUAAUUUUCGAUAUCCACAGUCACAUUCGCGACAUAAAAUGUCUUGACUUGUUUGGCAACUUACAGCAUUUUUUAAAUAACACCCUAAUUCCACUAAAGACGUUUGAUAGAUACUUAUACUAGAGUAGAAAGUUUCUUAAGAAGAAAGAUUAUAAAUAUAAAGCCUAAACCUUUUAUCCUUAUGAAGACUUUCAUAUUUAGAAGGGGAAUACUUUCUUUGGAGCUUAACAAAUACAAGAAAAAUGUCUUACUUCAAGGAUUUAGAUUUCUUUCAUGAAAUAUAUAACCAUAUUCUCCAAGACACCAAAAAGGGCCAAAACAUGGCUCAUAAAAUGUUUUUCAUUAGUAGUAAGAGACUCUAGUGCUUGGCAUCCUUAGGAGAGAAUUACCUCCUUAGUUGAAAAUUGAAUAAAGAGAAAGAGCUGCAAAUACUUGGCUAAAAAACAAUAAUCACACUAUAGUUAUAAAUGCACUAGUGUUACUAAGAAAAUAUUUCCUUUUACAUUUCAAGAAUUACAAUAGUAAUAAUAACAAUGCUAUUGUUGAAAACAUACCUUCUGCUGCUAUAACUUAUUUUCCAUCUCAACCACCCAAGAAAAAAAUUUCUAGAUUAAAUAUGUUGCACUUGCUCUUUUAAAUAUAGAAGGAUGAUGAUUGUUUAAAUCUUUUAAAGUAAGCACUUUCUAACAUAUUCUAGGAUAUCAAGAACAUUUGUCCUUAAAAUAAAAGGAACACAUAAAUAAUAAACACAAAGAAUAGCAAACACACUUGAUGCUCAAUUAUAGAAUUUUGAACUUGGAGCACCCAUGUUCCAUGAAGCCAAUACUUUUUAACACUAUUUUUUCAAAAGAGGAACAAAGGAAUAGAAGGACAAAUGUUCAAGAAGGAAAUUUAAUGGUAAUUCAUUCACACCACCACACUAUUAUAUUAGAUUUUGAAACUCUAAUCUAAUAGCUAAAUUUAAUGGUAACUUGUUCACACCAGAAAUAAACAUUAAAGUAAGAUAAUGUUACAAUUAGCAUUUCUUUUGCAUUUUUCACUAAAAUCCUAAUGCUACACUUUUGUAGCAUUAAGAUUAAAUUAUUCCAUAAAUAUUCUAUAGGGCAAUGCUGCGGCACCACUUGGAGCGCUGGCUGUGCUGCUGCUGCUUCUCCACACGCACAACCCUCCGAUUUGCAUGGAUUGCCAUCUUCUUUGACGACUCCUUGUGGUGGUGUUGGUGGUGGUGGUGGUGAUUGGUGGCAGUGUUGUUGGCAGAGCUGUGAUGGUGCUGCGGCACCACAAGUGCCGCCUCUUCCUCCUCCCUUGGUCACUUCCACGACACGCCCAUUCCGCUGCCUCUGCCGCUGCCCCCACGAGAGAAGUCUCUUAGGCUCGUCGGGGCUCUUGCACUUGUGCCCAACACCAGAUUCCAGAGCAUUGCUCAGCUCUGCCGUGCCGCUUGACGCCAUCGCUGCCACCGUGGAAGCUCCUCCUAUCAUCGUCAUUGCCGCCGUGGCACUCCUCUCCUCUGCCGCUGCCGCUUUCGAGGAGGGGGGAGAUAGAGGAGGUGGUGCGAAGAGGGCAAGGGAGAUUGAUGCGGAUGGGGGUGGCUGGAGCCAAGAUCUUCGUGAUUUCUGCCACCUUUUGCUGCCGCUGCUGCUGCCGCUGCUGGCUUGAAUCGGCCGCCCAAAGUGUUGAGAACAGGGCGGCCCUUGAACAUGUUGGCGCCACUGGCGUUUUGAAAAUACUUAAAAUCCAAGACUGUGUUCCCUCCUCUUCUAUAGAGAUCUUUGUUUUUGCGGUGCCAGUGAUCAAGGAAGUUCUUGCUUCGUGAUCCAUGGCUUCUCUCCCUCUCACACAAGGGAAAUUUUGAUUCCUUGUUUGUGGAAUCCUCUCUUCUAUCACAUGCUCAACAUUUCUGAGAGAUGUGUUUCUAAAUCACUUUUAGGUAUAAUUUAAUGGCUGGUGUGAACAAAGCAUUAUUAAAUUGACUAACUUAUUGGCAUUAUCUAAAGUUUUUAUUACAAAAAUGUAGUAUUGAAUAACAUUAAAAUUGUAAAAAUUCUGGUGGGUGUAAAACCCUCCUGUAUGUAGAUGAUUGUAUGCAAGUGUCCAAUUAACCAAACACACAAAACCGUCUAUAUGUUAUCUUACAAUUUGUCUAUAAUUUGAUCACUCCAGACUUGUCUUGAUUAAUUUUCUUUCUAGUCUUCUAUUUUGUGAGCUUAACAAAUGAAAAGGUGGAUAAUUUGGGUAAAAUUGGAUUCAUAAAAACCCACGAAUUGGAUUCAUAAAAAGGGUGACUAAAUCCUUCUUGCAUGACCUUUCAUAUUGGCACAUGAUGGCCAUGAAAUGAAUCAUACUAUGGGGUCAUGAACAUGCCAUUAUUCAUAGGUGAUAUUCUAGGAAUAUCUGAUCAUGUACGUGCAUAGACCUCGAUUCAGCCAUGGCACCUGGACAAUGCCUGGUUAUAUGCAACCGCAUACAACCAUCCGCUCACGGUUUUACGGCUGCUGGUGGUGAGUCGUUGGCAAAGAGCGCAAGGCCUCAUUCAUUUGCACGUUUUUUUGCCCUAGCAAAAGCCUGUCAAAAGUGUUGUACGAUGGACGAAGUGUUCAACCGCAUGGUCCUUGUGGGGUGUCGUGAAAUGCUUUUAUAGUCCUUCGUUCUCGUGCUUCAACGACUCUCUAAGAAUGUCUCCUCAUCCCUUGGUCUCGAUUUCGUUCCUCCUCCUGCUUGCUGCAAAUGCAAAUGCCGCCCUUCGGAGUACUAUCACAAGUGAUAGUAAUCUGGAUGGUGAUGCAGGCAUCAGAAUGUUUGGCGACGUUGGCUCUGACCCUCCCAAAUCCAUCGACUGGAGAACUUUGGGAGCCGUCACACCUGUGAAAGAUCGUAAAGGAUGCCAGAGUAAGUCGGUUUUUCUCUCUAUUUAUGUUUUAGCCUGUGGUUUGGAUGGAAAAUCAUGUUACAGAUGGCAGCUGGGCAUUCGCGACGGCAGAAGCCAUCGAGGGAAUCAACAAGAUUGCGACUGGAGUGUUGGUGGAGCUGUCGGCGCAGCAGCUGCUGGAUUGCUCCCGGAGCUACGGCAGCGAUGGCUGCCACAGCGGGUUUCCCCAGAACGCAUUUGCAUACCUUGACGACACAAGGAAUGGCCUCUCCACCGCAUCAGAUUACCGCUUCACAGGAUUCAAUGGCACCUGCCGAAAACACGUAAGUGCGUGCGUGCUCUUGUGUUUCCAUUGUUUUUUACUAAAGUUGUGCUCUUCCAGAACCGCAACUCCGUAGGCAUUGACAAUUACGACAAUUUGUACGGCUCCAGCGACGACACUGACAUCGUCAAGCAGGUUGCCAAGCAGCCAGUGACAGCUCUAAUCGAUGGCAACGCGCCGGAGUUCCUUCGCUACAAAGGGGUAUGAGAAAAAUCAUUCGUUUUUGAAGGAAAACUCGCUGAAGCCUUUGAACUAAAAAUGCAGGGGAUUUACAAGGGCCCGUGCAAAGACGACCAGGCAACUCCGUAUCUAGCAGUGCUCAUCGUCGGUUAUGGAUCCGAAAACGGCCAGGACUACUGGAUCAUCAAAAACUCGGCGGGGACAAGCUGGGGAGAGAAAGGCUACAUGAGGCUGCAGCGUGGAAACCAUGGCCUCCCACUGGGUCGAUGCGGAGUGAAUGGCUUCGUCUACUUUCCUGUCAAAUCGAAGGUACCACCGCCGCCUCCUCGACCACCGCCAUCACCCCCAGUUCCGUGCUCCAAGAGGAUUAGCUGCGAUCUUUCAGACUUUGAGUGCUGCCCUCCGAAGUCCAAGCCUAUUUGUUGCCCUAUAUGGAAGAGAUGUACUACCUCUGGAUGCGCUGUUUAAAUAUGUUUCGGUGUGGUCCUUAAUAGAUGUUGAUCCCAUGACUAAAUUCCCUUGGAGAAUCCACGACUUCCUAAAGCUCCAAGAAACGGAAUUUAGCGUUCUGGAAUUGCAUAGCAUUUGUUGAAAUACGCUUCCCGUAAUGCCUUCAAACCAAUGCUCCUAAAGCAACGAGGUUUUAAGCCUAUAGACGUCCACAUAGUGCUUCAAGGCCCCUCGAAAGAAGCCCUGAGCAACCUGAGACAUCAAAUAUUGAAUUGAGUCGAGUCAAGCAAAGCAAUGUAGUUGCAAAGUAAAAUUAAAAAGUGUAUAUCAAUCAAGUGACAGAUGUAUCUGCAGAGGUGUCGAUGUUUUUGUCUCAAGUCCCGGCAUCCAUGUCAAAAGAGAAGCAAGUAGACAUCCUCCCCACAAAAAUUCAGGUAGUUCCCAUCUUGACCAGUGAACUCGAUGUCGUAAUUGACAUGGAAAUCAAUCAGAUACUCGCUCGCAAGCCUGGUCACCAAGAUCUGAACCUUACGCUCGCCGCAAUUGGUAAUCACCAUCAUUACAUAGAGCUUGGAUUUCCAAGCGGCGAGGUAGAUAUCCUCGCCAUCCUCGGGCAAGGCAUAAUACGAGAAAAAAAUUAGUUGCGGUAUCAAACUCUUCUUCUUGUUUAAAGGUUGACGCACGAUGGAGAUCAAACCCUAAAUCUAUUUUACUCCGUCAAUCCAACUUUUCUUCUUACGAGCCGUUCUCCGAGAAAAAAAAUUGGUCCGCGACGCACAACAAUCUCGCGACCUGUAAAACGCUCAAUUCUACCACUCUAGAUCUUGGCAAUACCUCCUCUGGUAGCGGCGGCAAGCAUCGAGGAUAAUACUCGCUCUUUCCUACGUACAGUCGGUGCAAAGAGUAGCAAGCGCGAGCAAACACGAAUCUAGCAGGCGAGACGGCGAUUCUCAGCUAAGAUAGAAAACUCGAAGUGACAAACUUACCGGAAAAGGAGCUGACGAAGGAAUGGAUCACCCAAGACACGUCCCCAGGCAACGUUGAGGCUACCGGAAGAAGCCAGCAAGUUUCCCAAUUCCAGUAGUGUGCUCGACACCAUCUUUUCGGCCUGCUCGUAACUUCCCUGGAAAAGAAGAGGGAAAACGUAAGGAAGGAAAAAUGUUGACACCAUUUUCAAUCUUCCAUACCUGCUGGAGCUCAGUGACACGCACAUUUGUCAUUUGGCAAAGAGCUUGCAAAGGCGCAGUGAGGAAAAAGGUGAAGGUGCUGCCUGUACCUGGGUGCUUUGCCGUGUAUGGCUUUGCGGUUGGCGAAAGAAGUAACACCACUGGCUCGCCUCUUUCGUCACCGCACAAGGACUGCAAAGAGUGACAAACCAGAGUAAUGUUGUUUCCAAAAAGCAUAAGCGAGGUACCUCAAAUAUGUUGCUAGCGUCACUGUCGACGACGAUAAAAAGCGGCCUCCUUGUAAAUGGAAGCAAGUCGCCUGGAUAGACGUUGCUUCCUCGUCGUCCAAGCGAUAAGCCAGUCGAUCCAUCAACUCGUCGCCUAGGACUGCCGGCAGAAACAGGAGUCUCUUCUAAAAGAGCGUCCGAGCGAUCGGGGGAUGAGUCUGUGCUUGAAGCCUCCUUUGAAAAUUGAUUAGAAACACCGCUCCUGUCAUGGGAACCAGGACGGGAUCUUCCUGAAAAGCAAUCGAAGCACGAAUUGAUGUGUCACACAAGAAAAUUUCGAGUACCUGCAGCUGACAGAUACAGCAAUACUGCAGAGUCCGGAGGCACUUCCUCACAAGCAGUAGCUAAAACCUGCAAGAAAAACCAUAAGCAAGAAACGCACGCACGAAAGAAAUCACUUCUUACCAUAAGCAGCUGGUGAAUGUUGGGACGAUAUAGAAUGUAUUUGUGAGGGUUGGCAGGAAGAGUCGGAUCAGCUAUAUCCUGAGCAAGCAACCCUCCAGCAUUUGAAUCCGUCGCGGACUUCAUGCGAUAGAAAGACCCGCUAGGCUCCCAUUCCAAACAUUGAAGCAUUCUAAAGUUGUCCAGUGUCAGCUCGCUAAACUUCACCUGGCACCAGAAAGCAUUAAAGUUACCACCAUUCCGCCGCAGCAAAAGGAGUCAAACCAUGUACCUCAUUAUGGAAAUAGCUCACGAGAACAGCAUUCUUGAGCCUCAGAGCUUUGUGUCCCUCCAACUUGGAGACACUAGGAAAGGAGGAAACUUGACCAUCGAGAGCCGAGAUGUAUCGAAUAGGCCUGCUCAGCUCAGCCAAGGAAUCGGCCUUUAGAAAACGGACAAUCUCCUGCGUGACGGUUUUCCAUUCCUUGACAUCACUAUUCUGUAAGGAACAGCGAAAAGUAAGUAGAAAAAUAAGGAACUUUUCAGGUAUUUUUCCCCAUGAUCGAUACCUGGAAAGAGCUCGAGUAGUCCUCGACGAGGAUAUGGAGUUGCCUGACAAGGCGAUUCACCAUAUCCCACCUGUUAAGUAGCAAACAUAUGACAAUGAAUCGAGCGAAGUAUCUGAGCUGCUUAUUCGCGAGCGUUAUAUCCUUGCCUGGUUCCUUGAAAUACUCACGGCUGAGAAUGGCCUCGUAGAAGAUGUAAGACUCUUUCACGAAAGUAGCAUCGCUCGUGCGGAGAUAGUAGAUGUAGUAGAGCUGCCCGAUCCGAGAGGCAAUCUCGCCAAUCUCCCAGCGCUUGAGCCCUGCCUCGACGAGCUUCUGGCGAUUAUCCUGCUGGAAUUUCCACAGCUUGGUGUACACCUGGAAUGCCUUGCGGAAGUAGAAAUCCCACUUGUUCUGGCCGUAGGGAGGGAAAUCUCGCAGCCGCGAGAACUUGUUGUAGGCCUUGUCGACGAGCGCGCGGUACUCCUCACACACGGACAGCGCCAUGAAUGGAAUCGAUUCCGCCGAGCAGUAGCAGCAGCCGGCGCAGCGAAAUCACGAUCCAUACCUCACUGCUGAUGAUGUUUCCGUGGCGCCGUCGCUGGCGAUCGCUCUGGUGGCGUUGUCGGCGGCACCUAGGUCGCGCGCCUUCAUCGUCACCGCCAAAAACAAAAUGCUCGCUUCUCCUCUCUGGAAAACAAAAACCCCAACCUCCGCCAAAUAAAUUCUUUGACCUUGGGUAACUUUCAAGGUAAAAGAUAAAAACCCUUGCUUGAAGUUUUAGGGUUUAUCAUGUCAGCGCGAAAGACAAUGGAGUAUUUCGUGGCGGCAGUGGUCUCGCAAUUGAGGUAUAAGUUUUGGGUAGCGAUGAUGUUCUUCCAUGGAUUGAUGAAAGAUCUUUUAUUUUUCCAGACAACGCGAAGGCGAGCUCCAAGGAGUGAUGGAUGUGCUCAAGCCCGGGCCUCUGGGAAUCAAAGAACUCCAAUUUUCCGAGGCCGAAGUGAUCAAAGCCCGGGCAGCCGUGAAGAGAGCUCGAGAGAACUGGGUAAAAUCCUCGCAGCUAUAGGAAGAACUCGAGAAAUCCUCGUAGACAAAAUUUGAUGAAAAGAAGAAAGAAAGAAAAGAAAACUCACUCGCAAGAACUUGUCUAGCUGAUCUCCAGGUACUCGAUUAUGUGCUCCGAGCUUUGAACUCCCAGCUUCUCGCCGGGAAGCGCUGUUCGCGAGAUCAAAUGCUGGAGCACACCCUCCAUGCUUCGCAUUUUUCCACCCACGGCCAGUAGUGAGCUCACCAGACCCGCCGUCUCUCCCAGAUCUUCGCUCAAGUCGCGUGCUAUCACCAGACUCGCGUAUCGGAUCUCUAGAAUCGUCGAGAUCCAGCGGAUGAUUGUUUGCAGCGACGGUACCAAGCUUUGAUCCAUCUCCCGAGCGUGGAUCAUCUUCGAGGAGAAAACCUCCAGCCACUUGUUGAGGUAACGAAGAAGUAUCGAAACUUGAGAGGUGUCCAGCUCUUCCGAGACUAUGGCGGUUAGAACAGCUUCAUCGUGGUCGGCGCUGAGAAAGAUGUGGAGGCACAGCUCGGACGCUGUGAAUCUGUCGAAAGCAACAGCCAGGUUGACGCAAGCUGCCACAUUGAGCGCCAGUUCUUCCCUUUUACGAGCUAGGAACUCCUCGGUUUGGUUUCCAUCCGCGGAGAUCUCCCCUCGAAGCCUCACAGCGUCCUGGAUGUGGUUGGAGACGAGUUCAUGCCAAACUUGCCGCUGGAGCUGGAAGAACUUGGCAAACUUCUUGCUGUUGGCGAGAAAGAGUUUCAGGAUCUCCAACCACUGGGAAGGACGAAUGUCACGGACGGAAAGAACGCAGAGAAGAACCAGCGGUACGUUGCCAUCUUCCACAAUCCUGUCGAUGAUCUCUGGAUCCUCGUUGGAAGAAACCAAUCCACACUCCAAAAGCGUCGCAACUGGAUCCCAAAACCCGACACUGACAGACCAUCGUAGAACAGUGCUCACAAGUCUUCGACUGAUUCCCCUGGACUUUUCCUUGAGCAAAUUCCUGAGCUCCUGAUCCUGGACUACCCGGUCGUUCACUAGGCCGGAGAAUAGAAGACCGCCGUCACUGCUGCUACUGCUACUGCUGCCAAAAUGUCUAAGAUUCUGAAGAUGAUGUUUGAGCAGCUCUAAAACUUUAGACUUGGAGGCUUUCGGAAUGCUUGCCACGAGCGCCUCCUCAUUACUCACCUUGGAAGCCAAAGCGCCGGACAACACCGCGAUCUUGCGCAACGACACAUCUCCGAUCUCCUGUGAUUCGGCCCCACCAUGGCUCGCAUUCCACAGCGGCAGGAGCAGGAACGAUUGCUCGCCAGCGCUGGCAGCAGCCCCGCGAUCCAGCGAUCCCAACACGAUUUCCAAAGAGGUGGGCACCGCGGGAGGAGGAGCGGCGGCCAUAGGCACGGGGACUAAGAGCCCUAAAACCUAAACCCUAAUGCCGCGAACUAGCCGUUUUGGAAACCCUAAAUGUUUGAAUUCUAAAAGACAGAAUAUACCAGAGACGAAGGUGGAAAUUUUUUGCCGCGAAACAUGGAAGUAGCCGUUUUGAAAGCCCUAGAGUUCUUUCAUACAACGAAUAGGAAUGCUACAUGCUUUUCUUCUAAGAAAAGAAAGCUUCUUCUUCUUCCUUCUUUUUCUUCAAAUCGUGGAGCCAGUUGUAGGGCCGCCCUUCUGUUCCACGCCCUGUGCCAUGCCGCCAUAGCCAGGCUCCUUGAUCCUCGGCCCCAUCCUCGCCAGCAUGCCAGAAUGGAGCGACAAAAUGUAGAGGAGUUGCAUUCCUGCCAGGAUGAUCGAGAACGCUUCGAGUGCUUUCUGCCAAAGAGAAAGAUUCCUCAAUCCAUCAAUCGAAAGCACGGAAUUCAAGGCCUUACCAGGCGCCUGUUGCGGUAUCCACCGCGGAGCUGGAUUUCCUUGCAAGCGAAACUGGGAAAAGAGAUCAAUUCCGUCAAGAAACCCCGAGAAAUCUCCCAAGACCAAGGCUCGAUUCUUACCCGAAUGCCAGGAGAGUGAAGAGCCAGGCAAUCAAGGCGGAGGAAAUCGCCGCGGCGAGGCUCUCGCUGCGCCACAAGCUGACAUGAAUAGCGCCGGCGAGUAUCGAUGCCAGGCCAAGAACGCCCGCGCCGAGGAUGAAGAGGAGGAAGAAGGGCGUCGCCGCGUUCCCUGAGAGAGAAAGAUCUCGGGGGUGAGCGAUUGACAAGAAUGAAAGAAAGAUUUGGCAGCCUUACCGACGGGGAACCUUGUGAGCGUUGUCACUGCGCCAGUCUGAUUGACGAUGUUCGCCUGGCUAUAGUCGAUCGCCUUGUUCAUCGCCCAGCCCGCCAAGCCUAGCACCACCAUGUACAUACAGAAGUUGAGGAAGAGGAGGAAUGCCGCAACCGAUCGUCCCGGUCCAAACGCCAUCUCGAUUCGAUUCUUCUUUGAUCGAUCGAAAGAGAAGCCUUGGUCGAGAGAUGUCCUCGCUCCAAGGAAAAACCACCCUCGUUUUCUAGCUGUUGAGGAGGAGGAGCCGCCGCGAGGAACUAAAAACCAACGCCCCUUGGAGAUGCUAUAAUGGAGAAGAGUCCACCACUCGAGUUUGGAUUUAUAGAAGAAAUGGAGGCUGGAGAGAUGGAUGGCUGGAUAGAUGGAUGCGUGGAGCGAUGGAUGCGCAUCAUGGGCCGCCUUUAAGAGCUUCUCUAGGUAUGCAUGGCGAUGGGAGCGUAACACGUGCGCAGCGCGCUCCACGUGGCACCAUACACCUGUCCCGCCCAGAUUUGUAAAGAGAAUAUGCGCACCCUCCCCUGUUUUUAGGGUUAGGGUAAGCAGGAUUAGAUUCUCCGUACGGUUCUUUGUGGCUAGGGCACGAAACGCCGCGACAAUGGCUCUCUUUUAGGGUUUUCUGGCAGGGGUAAACCCUGGAGUGGAUGCGCGCUUGCGGCGGAUGGAUCCGCCACGGUGAUCCUCGCAUUCCUGCUGCUGCAUUGUCACGGUAAAUUGCGGGCGCGUGAUUCUUCCUCGUCUUGUGUGGCGGAUUGGAUCGCUAGGGUUUUCGAUCCAGGCGAUGGAGGCGGAGGUCGCAGCUGUGCUGGGGAUGGAGAUGGCGCCAUUCGAGGCGCUCGUCGCCCAGCUGAUGAGCCCCACGAACGACCAGCGCGGCCACGCCGAGCAGCUUUUCAACGCUUGCAAGGCGCAGCACCCGGACACGCUGGUGCUCAAGCUCGUUCACACUCUACAGUCCGGGCAUGUCGAGACGCGCGCUAUGUCCGCUAUCCUCUUGCGGAAGCUCAUCACCAAGGACGAGGUCUCGCUCUGGUCGCUGCUCAAUCCCAACACCCACGCCACGCUCAAGACCCAGCUCCUGGUGUGCGUCCAGAGGGAAGAGACCAAGAGCACCCUCAAGAAGCUGUGUGACACUGUGGCGGAGCUAGCGGCCAGUUUGAUCGAGGAUGGGAGCUGGCCAGAGCUCCUUCCAUUCAUGUUCCAGUGCGUGAGCUCCGACGUUCCCAGGCUCCAGGAGAGCGCGCUGCUCAUGUUUGCCCAGCUCGCGCAGUACAUGGGACCUCACCUCCGCUCACACUUGCCGACUUUGCACGCGGUCUUCCAGCAGUGCCUGUCGUCCAACACCUCGAGCGACGUGCGCAUUGCGGCACUCCGCGCGACCGCCAGCUUCGUGCAAACGCUGGAAUCGGUCCAGGAUCGAGAGAGGUUCCAGAACUUGCUACCCGGAAUGAUGCAGACGCUGUCUCUGGCUCUAAACAACAACGAGGAGGCCACAGCGCAGGAGGCUCUUGAGAUGUUUAUCGAGGUUGCCGGGUCGGAGCCAAGGUUUAUGCGACGCCAGCUUGUGGAUGUGGUGAGCACCAUGAUGCAGAUCGCUGAGGCUGAGUCGCUCGAGGAGGGUACUCGUCACUUAGCGGUGGAGUUUUUGAUCACUCUCGCUGAGGCCAGGGAGAGGGCGCCGGGGAUGAUGCGGAAGUUGCCACAAAUGAUCAGCAGGCUUUUCGCGACACUGGUGAAGAUGCUCUUGGAUUUGGAGGACCUUCCGGCGUGGCAUGUCGCGGACACGGAAGAUGAGGACGUUGGAGAGAGCUCGAAUUUUGAAGUUGGUCAGGAAUGCUUGGACAGGUUGGCGAUCUCUCUGGGGGGAAACACGAUCCUGCCGGUUGCAUCGGACAUCCUGCCCGUUUACAUUUCUGAUCCGGACUGGAAGAAGAGGCAUGCCGCGUUGAUCACCCUUGCACAGAUUGCCGAAGGAUGUGCCAAGGUAAUAUAUUUCCUUUUUCCUUUCUUUGGUGCUUUUCAAGACAUACUGACUUAUGCUUGGUUAUAGGUGAUGAUAAAAAAUUUAGAGCCGGUUGUGUCCAUGAUUUUGAAUUCGUUUCAAGAUCCACAUCCCCGAGUUAGAUGGGCUGCUAUUAAUGCGAUCGGACAGCUCUCCACAGAUUUAGGACCUGAUUUGCAACAGCUCUAUCAUCAGCGGGUGCUUCCAGCUCUUGUUGGUGCCAUGGAUGACUACCAAAAUCCUCGGGUUCAGGUAACAAUCUUUUCUUUUAUAUUCUUUUUUAUCAUUAACAAGUUUGCUCGGUACAGGCUCACGCGGCAGCCGCAAUAUUGAAUUUUAGCGAAAGCUGUACUUCUGAUAUUUUGACGCCUUAUUUGGAAGGUGUCAUCGGUAAAUUGUUGAUUCUUUUGCAGGUAAUUUUCUUUAUAACCCUGAGCAAGGUUUCAACAUCGUUGUUUCUAUCAGAAUGGAAAAAGAAUGGUGCAAGAAGGUGCUUUGACAGCACUGGCUUCUGUCGCUGAUUCCGCUCAGGUUAAUUCAUGAUGACGCUUGCCCUUCGACAUCUCACGUUCGAUAUUUGCAGGUUCAAUUCCAAAAGUAUUACGAUGCAGUCAUGCCGUACCUGAAGACUAUUCUUAUAAAUGCCACAGACAAGCAAAACCGCAUGCUUAGAGCGAAGUCUAUGGAGUGUAUCAGCCUUGUAGGUAUGGCCGUCGGCAAAGACAAGUUCAGAGAUGAUGCGAAGCAGGUAUGUUUCUUAUGGAAACGGUUGCUUAUAUUCUAAUGUCUCUACGUUUCCAGGUGAUGGAAGUUUUGAUGAGCCUCCAGGGUGCGCACUUGGAGGAUGACGAUCCAACCAUUAGCUACAUGCUGCAGGUUUGUAUCUCCUUUCAUAGGAACGAUGUGGUUUUGUUUUAUCUCCUCAUUUAAUUUCAGGCUUGGGCCCGGCUAUGUAAAUGUUUGGGUCAAGAAUUUUUACCGUAUAUGAAUGUUGUUAUGCCACCCCUUCUGCGCUCUGCGCAACUUAAACCAGACGUGACCAUAACGGAUGCGGACACCGAGGACGAAGGGAACGAUACAGAUGACGACAGGUAUUCUUUGGAUUUGCUGCACUACCAUAACUUUAAUUUUUCCACUAUAUGCUAGUGUGGAGACAAUCACUAUCGGGGACAAGAAAAUUGGUAUUAGAACAAGCGUUCUGGAAGAAAAGGCAACAGCUUGUAAUAUGUUGUGUUGUUAUGCGGACGAACUCAAGGAAGGGUUCUUUCCGUGGAUCGAGCAGGUAGGUACGCUAUGGCGGAUCAACAAUGCAUUACAUGUAAUUCCCCGUUUACUUUCAGGUCGCGCCGAUCCUUGUACCCUUAUUGAAGUUUUACUUUCAUGAAGAAGUUCGAAAAGCCGCUGUUUCAGGUAUGUUUCAUACUUUAGUUGUACGAUAAAUUUAUCAUGUAUAUAUGAACAGCUAUGCCUGAGCUUCUGAGGUCUGGUAAGCUGGCUGUGGAGAAAGGACAAGCACAAGGGCGGGAUCAAACUUAUGUGAAGCAACUGACGGACUACAUAGUACCGCCUCUUAUCGAAGCUCUACGCAAGGUUUUCUUCUAGUUUGUAGUUUUUUUCAGAUGGUAAUGGUCAAUUUACAGGAGCCCGAGACUGAAAUAAUUUCUAGUAUGCUGGACUCCUUGAAUGAGUGUAUUCAGGUAUGCUAUUCCAGUUUUAUUGAGGAAUCGAAAUAAUUAUAGGUGCAUAUGUUUGCAGCUUGUUGGUCCAAUGCUCGAUCAAGGGCAAAUAAAAGCUAUUGUUGAGGAGUUCAAGCAAGUGUUGACAGCGAGCAGCACACGGAAAAGGGAUCGUGCGGAACGAACAAAGACAGAAGAUUUUGAUGCAGAAGAGCGUGAGUUGCUACACGAAGAAAACGAACAGGAAGACGAAGUUUUUGAUCAGGUGAUUCUGCUAUUUAUUUCUUUUAACAUCUCAACGAGUUUUCAUAGAUUGGGGAAUGUAUUGGAACACUCAUCAAAACGUUCAAAGCGUCUUUUGUUCCUUUCUUUGACGAGCUCAUGCCUUUCGUGACACCUAUGCUGGUAAGACGCCUAGUAUAUAUUCGUCUCGGUUGCUUACCUCUUGUUUUAAUGGUUGGAAGUCUAAAGAUCGAACAUCUGAAGAACGGAGAAUCGCAAUUUGUAUUUUUGACGACAUCGCCGAGCAGUGUGGAGAAGCUGCAAUCAAGUAUUGCCAGUUUUUACGAUUAAAAUUCUCUUAUACGCCUUUUGUGUCUGCAGAUACUAUGAUACGUUCCUGCCGUUCAUGCUGGAAGCAGCCAAUGACAUCAAUUGUGAUGUCCGACAGGUUGGCUAAAACAAGAACUAGAAAGUGCGUUCAUUCAUUCGCUUGUUUAUGUAUCACAGGCUGCCGUAUACGGCAUUGGUGUAUGUGCUGAGUUUGGUGGAGCAAAAUUCAAGCCUGUUGUCCGAGGUUACAUUACCGGCUUGUUUCUGCGGCUAAACUGUAUGUUUAUUUACAGAGGCUUUGGAGCGUUUGAAUGCUGUUGUAAGCCAUCCCGCUGCGCGGCAACAGGAUAACAUCAUGGCAACCGAUAAUGCUGUGUCUGCUCUUGGAAAAAUAUGUCAGUUCCAAAGAGAUAGCAUCGAUGCUACACAGGUGUGUGUGUGUGUGUUCUUCUCUGUUAUGUACUGAUCAUCACUUUGUGUGUGUUUCUCAUCAGGUCGUCCCUGCUUGGUUGGGCUGUUUACCACUCAAAGGUGACCUUGUGGAAGCCAAAAUUGUCCACGAGCAGCUCUGUAGCAUGGUUGAAAGGUAAACAAAGCAUCCUUCAGAUUUCUGGUUAGAACUUAUUUGCAAUGUGUCCAAGCAGCUCGGAUCCCCAACUUCUCGGCCCCAACAAUCAGUUCCUACCAAAGAUCGUCUCCGUUUUUGCAGAGGUAAGAUUUUUAGAAGGCCUGAGCUUCUUGGAAUCAUUCUUUCUCCCGGUGAAUUCAGGUGCUUAGCUCGGGAGCAGAGCUAUCAAACGAACAAACUGCUGCACGCAUGGUGACUUUGCUGAGACAGAUGCAACAAAGACUCCCCCCGGCUGCUCUUGCUUCGACAUGGUCUGCGUUGCAACCUCAGCAGCAGGCUGCGCUACAGUCGAUUUUGUCACCUCAAACAUCGUGAUCGCGCGAGCGGAGAUUUGUUUUGGAUCAUUGCUUUAACAUUUUUACAGAGGUUUGAGGGGCAGGAACGGUUUUCUUCUCUUUUUUUUCUAUCUCCUUUUUCUUUUUCUUCUUCCCUGUGAAGGGGGCGUCGAGUUAAGAGUGGUGGUCAUAUUACUUUUUGUGCGUCUUACAAAUGUGAGAAAUAAUAAGAAAAAAAAAAGGCUUGUGAGAUCAGGGAAGCUUUCAUGCUCGUUCCAUGUCCUUGAAAUUUUGUGUGUGUGUGUGUGUGUGACUUUUGUUACAAAGUUGUCUGUGUGGUUUCCGUGUCCACGAUGAUUUUGUGACUUUCGUGGUUUCGUGUCCUUUGUGACUUGUUAGAAAGUUAUCCGAUAGAGAGAGAGAGAGAGAGAGAGCUAUGGCGAAGCGAGAGAGCAAAGUGGCUGUAGUUACAGGAAGUAACAAGGGGAUUGGUUUCGAGAUUGUGAGGCAGCUCGCGAGCAAGGGAUUCACGACCGUUCUCACGGCCCGUGACGCAAAGAGAGGAAUUGAUGCGUUGGAGCGGCUCAAAUCGCAAGGCCUGGAAGCCGAAUUCCAUCAGCUGGACGUCUCGAGCUCGCAAUCCGUGUCCGCUAUGGCCGCUUGGCUCCAGCAAAAGUUUGGCGCCAUAGAUAUCCUGGUAAGAAGAGAGUGGUAAGAGAGGAAUUCUUCCAAAGAUUGAAAAGCUUGUGUGUUCUUCAAAGGUGAAUAAUGCGGGGAUCAAGUCCAAGGGCUUUGAGAACGAAGUGGAAGGAGCCCAAGCACUUUUUGAGACGAAUUACUAUGGUGCCAAGCGGAUGGCUCAAGCGGUCCUCCCGAUAAUCAAGCCUGGAGGCCGGAUUAUCAACAUAAGCUCCCGCCUCGGCCAGCUUAACAAUGACUUUCUUGUAAGUGUUUCUCUUAAAUGUAUGUGUUGUUUUAGAUUUUGUAAUGUUUCUUGGCAGCCUCUCAAGAAUGAGUUUCAAGUGGCAAAGUUCUCUGAUGCGGAACAUCUCAGCGAGCAAGUGAUUGACUUGUGCUUGCAAGAGUUUCGGGGUGCUGUUGAGAGAGGAAAGGUGGUGGAGGAAGGCUACCCAAACAUGGACGCGGAUUACUGCAUGUCCAAGUUUGCGCUCAACGCCUACACCAGGAUUCUCGCACAGAAGCUGCAAAACAACAAGAUUAGUGUCAACUCGGUGUGCCCAGGAUAUACAAAAACGGACUUGACUGGCGGUGAAGGCCAUUUUACAGCUGAACAAGGGGCAGACACCCCGGUUUGGCUUGCAACGCUUGAAGCUGAGGAUUAUCCCUCGGGAAAGUUUUUCGCGGAGCGAAAAGAGAUACACUUUUGACUUGAUACACAAUGACCUUUAAAGUUAUUAGAACCUAACUGUUACGAUAAUUUAUUAAAGGUAAGAGUGUUUAGGAUGUAGGGUUUGGAAUGUGCGCUUUCUUCCUCUCCAAAUCCAAGCAAUGCCGCUCUUUUCCUGUUGAGUUCCUAGAAUGCGCCAUGCCUGUGCGCUGCGAAUCCAUGUUUUUCUUGCCCGGAAAUGCCUUGCAAGUGAUGCUCUACACUUGAUCGCUGAAAGUUUUCUCAUUUCUCAGGUAAGUCCUGUUGAGAAACUAUCCACACCUGAUGCAAUGCCAAGGCACUGAUACUGAUAUGGGCUUGCGUGCUUGAGAGAAAAGAAAAGGAAAAGGAGAGACUUGGAAGAGAGGCAGGAAUUUCUUGUGGCUUGUUUUUGGAAUCCAAUGCCGCCGUGCUAAAGUUUAACUAGCUAGUGGCUUUCUCUGGGCCUGGCCCUGUGUCCUUGGCUCAUUAGACUUGUAUUUCUUUUGUGGAUGCUUGUUUGUACUCGUGCUUGCUGCUGCUGCUAUCAUUCUCGUACCACUGCUAUUUUAGCUCUCUCUCUCUUGUUGUUGCCGAAUUGAGUGAUUGAUACUCCAUAUCCCGCAACAUCCCAGCGAGAGGAAUUAUCCAUUAAUUAGCAGUGAGAGCAAGGAAAGUGAUAGGCUCUCACUCGGGGCACUCCUUUUCCUCUUCCUUCUUGGGAGUUCUUGGGAGCUUUCAUACUGUACAAGUGUUGCAAGUGUACAGGAAGAACAGAACUUACAACGUUCUUUGUUUGUGUGCUCUGUUUCAGGGAGUUUUGUUCACAGUCUCACACAAACAUACAAAGAGAGGUAUGGGCAUCUCCCUGUGGCAGGCCGAAUAUCACACCAAAGCCGGAUACAGAUACAGAUCGGAUCACCCGGGUACGCUUUUAUAUUAUUUCCAGAGCAGGCUAAAGAAGUGAGACAAAAUGUAAGGGGUGGGAGGAAGGAGUAGUCUAUUCUUUCUUCUAGGCACGGAACUAGAAACCAUGGCUGGUGGAUCCAGCCGCUCACCGCUGCUGGUCACCGCUACAAGAUGUGAGAGUCGUGGGCUUUGAGCUUCUGGACAAAGCAGCGAGGAAAAAGAAGAGUUUUUUCUCCUCCUUUCCCAUCUCAGAGGUGUGUAGUCAUAGAUAGGGAUAAAAGGAGGAGCGGACAGGAGGGAUAUGGGCAGAUCCAAGGCCAUUGUUGUUCAUCAACAGCAGCAGCAUCAAGCGAGAAAGAGCGGUGAUGCGGUGCACAGGCCAGCAAACAUACGCAUCAGGCGUGCGAUACUGGCUGGGAAGCGGGGGCCUACGACGCCAGUUCCGAGCUGGAAGCUGUACGAGAAUCCUUCCUACGACGGGAUCAUGGCGGGGAGCGAGGCUGCCGGUCGCCAGAUAACUAUCUCGGCACGAAAGUUAGCCGCCACGCUGUGGGAGCUCCAGGAGCUUCCGCUUUGUCCUGCCAGAGGAGGCCCACCUUCGUCGGCUAAAAUGCGCUCGCGCUCAUCGUCACAGGCCAGGCAGCGGGAGUCCGUUGCAAGUCCAAAGCAUCUGAUGCUGCCUCCACCGUCGCCUACGACCCCCGUUCCUCACAAUGUAAGCAAAGCCUUGUUUUCUCUUUCUUUCCUCUCUAGUUGAGUGCUUUUCCCAGAUUUUUUUUUCUCUCUAGAGUUGCGAGUUUUGCAAGUUUGGAUCACUUUGUUUCUGAUGUAAGUUUGUGCCUCGCAGGCCACUAACAAUCAGAGAAGAAGCCCAUACUCGGACUCGGUAACCUAUCACAGCCGAAGAGCGUCGGAAGAACUCUACGCGUCGGAAACAUCCCGGCACAGCUUUGAGGUGACUAUUCUUGCAUUGCAUUGCGUUGCAUGGCCUGUACUAAACUGUUUCUAUUUUUUCUUUUUUCCGUAGAUGGAGUCCCAGAAUAAACAGCAGCAACAGCAGCAGCAAGAUAUGGUCGACGAAGUUGCUUCGCGAGUAAAAGAAUGCCUUCCAAACUCGAAUGAUUUCCUCAAAGUUCUAUCGCACAUCCGGGGCAUGGACCAGCAACAAGCCGGAUCGACUCCUUUGGCUACUGUUCUACGGGUGGAGCUAGAACACACACGACAGCGGGUGAGAGAGCUGGAACACGCCAACAAAGCGGCUCGCAGGGACGUCGAGAUCCUCUUGGAGAGAAGCGAGAGCGAGAGGGCUGCAUGGCGAGCCAAAGAACAGGAAAGGUGGCGAGCCAUCGUUAUCGAGGCGAAGAGCGAGGCCGAGGAAGAGAAGCGGCAUAAACGCAAGGCCGAGCACCUGAACCGGAAGCUGGCACGGCAGCUGGAAGAGACAAGCUCGGCUCUCUCGAAAGCCAUGAACGAUCUGGAGCGAGAGAGAAAGGCGAGGCAGCUGAUGGAGGAAGUGUGCGACGAGCUGGCUCGUGAGAUCGGGCAGGACAAGGCGGAGGUGGAGGAGCUCAAGCGAGAGUCGGAGAAAGUCCGCGAGGAGGUGGAGGAGGAGCGAAGGAUGCUGCAAAUGGCGGAGGUGUGGCGGGAGGAGCGAGUCCAAAUGAAACUCGCGGAAGCGCGCCACGAACUGGAAGAGAAGAACGCGAGCCUGGACAGGCUUCGAGGCGAGCUGGAGGAGUUUCUGCGGAACAAGUCCGCGGCAAGAGCCGGCGAGAGCCAGGAGCUGGACAAGGCGACGACGCUGCGAGCCGCGGUGGAUUCCCUGCGGAAGCCAAACGAGACUGGGAGCUCGGCCGAGGAGGACUUACACUCGAUCGAUCUGAACAAGGAAUCGCUCUACGAUCGAACGCAAGGGAACCGCUGGACUUACGCCAGGAACAAGCAGGGCCAGGCGGACAAUCCAGCCGAGAAGAGGCAAGAGCUGCGGAGAAAAGCCGUCAGGGGACGGAGGAGGCUUCGGAGGCAGCGAACUUACGACGAGAACAGCCUGGUGGAGCAGCAGUCGACGGAGCAAGAGAAUGGUCCGGACGAGAGCUGCUUCGAUGGACGAGGUGAGGGCUAUGGUUUCGGCCCGAGCAGAAGGAUCGACACGAUUCCAGAGCAGCAGGAGCUCUACAUGGAGAGCGUCCGAGCUUCUUCCAGGCAGCACAGAGGAGGAGGAGCUUGGCAUGGCAACAACGAGGAGGACGAAGAGGAAGACGAGGACGGGGAUCAACAAACGCUAUGCAAAGCUGAGGAUGAUUUCGCUCUCGAGUACGCACAGCACAGGAGGAGCCAAGACGGGAGCACGCCGACGCUGUCGCCUCUGCUGCACUCGUCGUUUCCAUUGAUGAGCUCCUCGAUGGUGGCGACGCCCCAGAGAAAUAGCUGGAGCUCUUCCGGGGACGUGAAUUGGCCGCGGUCGAGCAGCCGAGACAACAGCCUGAGAGCCAAGCUGUUGGAGGCCAAGAUCAUGGACGAGCCUGUGCACCACCACCAUCGCGUUUGAACUAGAAUUACCAUUUCAUGGUCAAGGUUGACGCUUUUGACAAUUGACUGUGCACUUGGUCAAACUUUGUAGCAAUUAAUUUAUCAUACAUUUUACGGCCAACGAAGGAGGGGAGGAAGACGUCGAAGAUGCGGCCUCAAAUUUCAAUCUUGCAUGUUUGCAUCACGAUGCGCUAUCAAAGCAACAUAUAGAUAGAGAUAAAUAGAUGACCUCCUGCCAUUCUCCAAUGGUACAAUGGCAGUUUUUCUUACUAUCUAACAAGCGGCUUGAAGAUCCAGUUCUGCUCCAUGAAGGUCUCCAUCUUGAGCAUAGUCACAACCCGGACACAAAAAACCUGUGAGGGGUCUCUGGUCCUCCCACGGAAGGCUACCACCAUCAAGCAGCAGUAAACAGUCCCUGGACGCAGUCUUUCAGGUUCCGAGGUUCCUCAAAGAACAGUGCACAGCUCCCAAUCUUUUAUCGGCGGGAUCGAGACUGUGACGAGAGCACGCGGCCAGGCCUUUGCUACAGCUCCCUGAGAGGAUCGAGCCCCGGCCGACAGGCCAUCCCCCAGUCAAUGAGGUGGUACACACCAUUUUUGCAGCAUAUGUUCCGCAGGGCAAUGUCGUUGUGGCAAAUGCCAUGCGCGUUGAAAACCCGGACGAGCGUUGCAUAGAGCUGCUCGCCAUUUGCCGUGGUGAAAGGAGGCCUUUCCUCUAGCGCGAAACCAGCGUCUCGAAUUAGCAUGGGUGGUCUAUCAAUUCCCUUCACCUCCACCGGAAAGGCUGCCAGUUCCUCGUCUUGCAGCAGGGAGUGUCAGAACAUGUCACGCUCAACCUGGAACCAAAACUCCCACGGCCACUUGGAUGACAUGAGCACCAUCUGCGCUUGCCUCGCGUUCCUGUUCGGCCCCAGCUUCAGCCACCACUGCUCGCCAUUAAUCGUCACUGAGACUACAGUCGACAGAGCCGCGGCACGAGCGGCCCGGUUCACCGUCACCGCCUCCACUGCCUAGGCCUUCACGUGGAUUGCCAUCUCCAAACUUUCGUUACCAAUCCUGUAUCCACUAGUUGCUCUCACUUUGACUUGCUGUCCUUCGCUUCACAGGUGCACUGCUCCUCAGCUCUCGCUUGAAGCUGGAAAUCCUCGUACACGUCGUUGGCACAGUGCCACACAAUGCUCUUCAUGGGUAGUAGUCUAACGGUUCACCGUCAACCGGCUGAUUGAGCAGGCGCUGUCGCUGGAAAAUAACACCCUUCGGGAUGUCAAGAACAGAGUGGAGAGCCUCCGCCCAGUGAAGGCAAAGCCCCUGAAAGUGUUGCUGAAAUCCAGAUUUGUGCACCGUUCUGCGUUUCUCUGAGCUUCGUAUUUCGCCUGGAAGCACUGGUUUGAGAGGCGCACGAGCUCUCCCCGUGCUUCUGCUAGCUUGUGGUAGUCACCUUCUUAUCUGACUUGCCUUGUGCAGGCAUUCUUGGAGAACCGCUCACAAAGAUGUGGCACUGCCGCUUCCUUGUGCUGGCCAGUUGAUCAAUGCCGUAAGUCACCUCCUUUCGCAUGCCGAACCACAAUCGCCAUGACCUCCGCCACCACGUGCAUGAAGCUCUCGUAUUGCUUCUUAACUGUAUCCCAACCACACACACCUCCAGCCUGAGGUUUUCGAUAGCCUGCAGGAUGUUCGUGUUGAGUAUACGCUCUCUAUGACAUGAUCCUAGAUGGCAGGAGUGCCACUUCACUGAUCCAGGUGUAGGCUAGAGGCGUGUCUCUUCAUCAUGUAUAUAUAUCUUUGAUAUUAUAUACGACUAUCCUUGGAGUCAUCCACCAUCGUAGCUUCCGCUCUUCUUCUCUUCAGUUCGUGUUGGGGUCCGGGUCCGUGACAAACCGAGUCCAGAAACGUUCCAGAGGACGAUAUCCAACCCACAGCGGUAUUGGCACCGAAGUGAGAGCGUAGUCACUUCCUUGAGGUCGACCAUCUAAAAACCAUCAGAAAAACAUGUAAGCUUACCAAGAGUGGGUUCCGAUUUCAUAGCUUCGCUUUCGUCCAAGCAUGAGCCUGAAGAAACCCCAUCCUUGUCGAUCUUGCCCAGGACCUCUAAAUCCUCUGUGACUUGUGGCUUUGAAACAUGCAUUUAUAGCGUUUUCUUACGAGAGUUAGUGUGGAAUUUUUUCACCUUGCACUUAUUGUCCUUGCCCUCUGUUGUUAUUUCAUCAAAGAAGAAUUACCUGUAGUUAAUAUAUACAUACGAGCAAGGACGGGAGCACGCCGACGCUAUUGCUGCUGCUGUGUUUCCAUUAAUGGUGGCGACGCCACAGAGGACAAGCUGGAGCACUUACUGAACUUCAAAGUUAAGGUCAAGCUUUCAGGCUCAACAAACACUCAAAGGCAGUCAAUAAGCUCAAUGCAUUGACUCGCAUUGAAUAUAUUACUGUCAUUGACUUUUAGAACGCCAAUCUUCAUGGUGGAGGUAUCAACAAGCCGCUUGAAGAUUCAGUAUGAAGCUCUCAUCUUCGGCCAUCUUGCGCAUUGCUUCAUACCGGGCACAAAGAACUUGGUAGACGUUUCUGGAAGCCGCCGCUUCCUUCCACGGAAGACUACCACCAUUGAGCAGCAUCAAGCAGCAGUAUAGUAGUCCCUGUACGCAGUCUUUCAAGUCCUGAGGUUCCACAAAGAACAGUGCACAGUCCGGCGACAGGGUCCAAGCUGUUAUCAGCGGAAGCCAGACUUUGACGAAAGCACACGGCCAGGCCUUCGCUACAGCGUCCGCGAGAGGAUCCAGCCCCGGCCCGCAGACCAGUCCCCAGUCGAUAGCUGGUCUCCCGAUUCCCUCCACCUCCACCGGAAAGGCUACCAGGUCUUGCAGCAGGGAAUGGGAGAACAUGUCGCGCUCAACCUGGAACCAAAGCUCCCAGGCACACUUCUUCGAUGGCAUGAGCGCCAUCUCCGCUUGCCUCUCGUCCCUGUUUGGCCCCAGCUUCAGCCACCACUGCUGGCCAUUCACCGUCACUGAGACCACAGUUGACAUAGCCGAGGGACCCGGUUCACCGUCACUGCCUCACUGCCGCUGCUGCAUUCGUGCGGACCGCCAGCUCCAAACUUUCGCCACCAAUCCUGUAUCCGCCAGCGGCUCUCACUUUGAGUUGCUGUCCUCCGCGCCACGCUCCUCCGCUCUCGCUUGAAGUUGGAAGUCCUCGUACGCCUUGUUAGCGCAGUGCCACACGAUGCUCUUCAUGCACUCUCCCCACGCGUCAACCGGGUAGUACUUAAGCGGUUGGCUGUCGUCAACCGGUUGCCCGUCCUUGAUCAGGCACUGUCGCUGGAAAAUAACACCCUUCGGGAUGUCAAGAACCGAGUGAGCCACUGUGACAGCCUCAACCUCCCGCCCGUGAAGGCAAAGCCCCUGACAGUGUUGCUGAUAUCCGGAUCUGGGUUGUAGCCCAGUGCGAGCUUCUGAGCUUCGUAUUUCGCUAGGAAACACUGAUUCGAAAAGCGGACCAGCUCUCCCCGUGCUUCUGCUAGCUUGUGAGCAGUCACGUUCUUAUCUGACUUACCUUGUGCAGGCAUUCUUGGAGAACCGCUCACAAGGAUGUAUCACUGCCGUUGAGCAAUGCUGUAAGUCACCUCCUUCCCCAGACGAUCGCCAUGACCUCCGCCAUCACGCGCAUGAAAGUCUCGCAUUGCUUCUGAACUGUAUCCCAGUCCUGUUCCUCGUCAACCACGCACACCUCCAGCCCGAGGUUUUCGAUAGCCUGAAGGAUCGGGUUCCGCGUCCGAGACAAACCGAUUCCAGAAACCUUCCAGAGGACCUACGGUAUCCAACCCACAGCGGUUCCAGCUUACUAGCAUCGAAGUGUCUAUCCCAAGAGCGUAGUCGCUUCCUUGAGGUAGAGCGCGUUCUGAGAAGAAAGAUCAUCUACAAAACCAUACAUCUUUAUAAGUUAUAAUUACAAGCCACAAGCUUACCAAGUGUGGGCUUGAACGAUUCCAACAAUUUCACGCGGGCACGAAGCUCAUCAGGGGCUUCCAAACUCUCCCUUUUCCGCUUUCGUCCGUAGGAAACCAUGAGCCUGAAGAAACCCACCAUUUCUGUAUCUUUGUCAAUCUCGUCCAGUUCGUCUAGAUCCUCCUCGGAUGCAUCCUUCAUACUCUCCAAGUACUUCAGUAAGGAAGUGGCUGUGAACAGUCAGCAGCUUGGGUAGCCACCUCGAAACACGCUAAAACACAAUGAAUCUUCGAUCCAGGAAUCACAAAAGACUCACCAGAGUAGGCAACUUACAAAGCUUACUCACAUUAAUCUUAGUUUUUCUUCCUUGACUUUCUACCAGCCUUCCUUCUAGGCUUGCCAGAUUUUCCAUUCUCCUGAUAACAAAAAGGUUGGGAUGCAAACACAUCAAAACAACCAAUACCUUCAUGUAGCGUUUGUAGCCUUCUUUACCCAUCAUACGUUGUCCUUCGGCCGUGACAUACACCUGAGAUUUUGCCAAUUAUCAUAACAGUACCAAAACCAAGAGAACGAAAAGUACCUUGCUACCACCCGAUGUUAACCAAUAUCCUUUCCUUCCCGUCGUUCCUGUGCUGGCAUUUUCUUGAAGGAUCCGCGCAUUGGAGUUUCCAUUCUUCCGCUUAUUGCCUCGAGUAGUCUUGCUCCUUGCUUGCGGCUGUGUUUGAACAGCGUCGAAAUCCUUAGAACCAGCCGGGCCCGAGAACUUGGCUCUUACUGCACUGUUUCUUCCAAAUUGCCCUCUGCAAUUAUUUUCAGUGUACGAUCAGCUUCAUCGAAGACAAAACCCGUACCUGUAGUCGAUAUAUACAGGCUCUCCGCUGUUGCCUUGUUCGAGAUCAUCAACAGAUAAAAAGUGAGGAAAUCUCUCGCGUCUGAGUUGAGCGGUCUGCAUGUCUGUGGACGGAAAGGAGCUGCCUGGUUGUUCUUCGUACUCCUCAUCAAGGUCUAUACAGAUCGUGUUGUCUCGGAACUCGUAUAAGGGAGUCUUUGCUUUUUCGGUUCCCGAGCUUGAGCUUGCCUUUCCAGCUGACGACCAGUCGACGCCAGCAGUGGAAAAUGUCGAUGGCGGACUGGCGUACGUAUUCUCUAUCCCUUGGAACUUUACCUCCUUGGAACCAAGGCUGGUUUUCUUACAUGUUACUCGGGAAUGCAAAGCCGAAGGUAGAAUUUCCUCGUUUGCUUCUCUUCUUUCAUAUACUGGAGGUGUUCUGACGGGCUUGAGCGCAGAGAACGAUCUGGGAUUAUACGACUGGGAUUGAGAUCCUACCAAAAAAAAAAAGAAAGAGAAAAUCAAAUAAGAAGUCCGUAGAGAAAGAAACUUACUAUUUGGCUGUUCCUCUUCGGAAGAAAACUCCUCAAUCUCGUCAGCACAACUUGUAUCUGUAACAACACUUCUCGUCGACGGUGAGCACGUCUUCUCCUCAAAAACGCUCUUUGAUGGUCCGCGACGAAGACGCUUCAAACUUCUCUUUGGAGUGGCUUCGACAAGAUCAACACCACCAUCGUCAUCGGCCAGGAAAGAACUCUCAUUUGUAGCAAAUGACGACCUAGCACCUGCUCUAGCGCUACCCGCAUCAUCCCUCCUUCCACUCACGCCCGCCGCUGGAGCGGCAGAAAAAAAAUCGUCCAGCCCCAACGAGAAAGACGGCACCUGCGUCUCAUCUAAGCCCAGAGAAAACGAGGGAGGCUCAAAAUCCAUCGCCCGCGACUCACAAAUCCUGGAGAUCUAAGCUGCCGCUACUCAAUCCAGCCUAGAAUCGCCCAUAGUCGACUCACCGCAUCGAUCCCGCCCUCGCAUUGCGCUCUGCAAACCCUAGCUCCCUCCACUUCUUGGGCGCGAUAUUUGAAACAAAAGGGCUCUUAAUAUUUAACGAAGAUUCACCCUACUCUGUUUUUAGGGCUCUUCACAAUCUAACAAGAAAUUAUUCUACGAAUCUUUUUGUAAAGAGGCGCGACCAGCGAAGUAUUGCCUGUGAAUCAAUGAGAAGUAGACUCCCUUGUUCGUCUUCCUCUUCUUGGCUAUGGUGUUAGUAGCGGCCAUGGUGGCUUCUUCGUUCUCGUCUUCUCCUUCCUCCUCCAUACCUUGCCAUUGGAGGAGAUCCUCGUGAGAGCCUUGCUCCACAACGCUACCGUCCUGGACCACGGCUAUGGAGUCGGCAUUUUGGAUCGUGGAUAGCCUGUGAGCCACCACGAUCGUCGUCCGGCUGGCCAUUAUCGUCUCUAGAGCCUGCUGGACGAUCUCCUCCGACUCGGCGUCGAGAGCGCUCGUUGCCUCGUCCAGCAGGAGGAUCGCCGGGUUCUUGAGGAUGGCCCGCGCGAUUGCGAUGCGUUGCUUCUGCCCGCCGGAGAGCUGGAGACCUUUCUCGCCCGCGAACGUCGAGUAGCCAUCCGGCAAAGCGCUGCAAAGUCGAUUCUAUCAGUGCCAAGUAAAUGACGAAAAAGAACGGAAGUCAUGAAAACGAAAGCAAAUCCCACGAAAACAAGAGAAUCGCACAAGCAAUAUCAAAAGCAAAUCCCACGAAAACAAGAGAAAGAAAGCACGGAAAAGUCUAGCACUAGGUGAAGAACACGAAGGCACGAGAACAAACAUGAAGCAUAUCGUGAAAAUAUAUGAAAGAAUGGAAGUCAUGAAAACGAAAACAAACCUCAUGAAAACAAGAGAAGCACACAAGCAAUAUCAAAAGCAAGGAAAAGUCUAGCACUAGCUGAAGAACACGAAUACACGAAAACAGACAUGAAGAAUAUAGUUGCUAGGAGUGUUGAAAGUUUACCUGAUGAAGCUGUGAGCGUUUGCUGCUCGUGCUGCCUCCACCACUUCCGAAUCACUCGCGUUCUCGGUCCCGUAAGCGAUGUUCUCCCAGAUACUUGUGGCAAACAGCGUCGGCUCCUGGCUCACAAGAGCAAUCUGUCUUCUCAGCCACUUUAGACUCAAUCCCCGGAUGUCCCUGCCAUCGAUGGUAACCUUCCCACCAAUCGGAUCGUAAAACCUCUCGAUCAGUCCGAUGGCAGAGGACUUCCCGCAGCCGCUUUCGCCAACCAGUGCUACAGUCUGGCCAGCAUUUACUCGCAGCCUGAAGUUUUUCAGCACGAGCAAGUCCGGCCUCGAUGGGUACGCGAAGUAGACGUCGUAGAACUCGACGUCACCUUUGAGAACCGGCACACACUUGGCAGAGUCCUUCUCUGCAUCUAUCUCUGUCUUCCUGUCCAAAAUCUCAAACACGGACUUCACCGCUGAGACCCCCUUGGCAAGAUCAGGACUGAGAGUUCCCGCUUCGGCUAAAACUCGUCCCGUGCUCACCAAUAUGAAAAUCGUCUUCAAAACCGCACCAAACGUGCUCUCCCCGUGCUUCACCAGCAGGCCUCCAUACCAAAAAUCCAGCCCCCACGAUGCGUAGAGAAUAAACUGAGCUACUCCCAGGCUAAACCCCGCAAUAUGUGACCGCUUCAUGGUCUCUCGAAUCGGAACUUCGAGCUUCGACUUAAAAAACGCCAGAACCCGCUCCUGUGACGAGAAUGCCGUGACUGUCCGGUGAUGUGAUACUGCCUCGCUUGCAAUUUUGCAGGCUUCCCUCUGUGCUGCCGCAGUAUUCUGAGCAAAUCCUCGCAGACAUAUAUUUUUCACGUAGUAGCAGAGGAUGAUGAGUGGUUGUAUCGCUAUUAUCACCAUGGCCAGCUUCCACGAAGUUAUAAGCCCAACGAUAAAGCUCACUGACGUUGCGCUUGCUGUCUGGACGAGUAGAGAAAUACGAUCACCAACAAGUCCACGAACCUGCAACAUGGUAAAGGAGGGUGAGAAUAAAUAGGAGAAACGUAAAAAAGAACUCACCAUGCUUGCAUCCGAAGCUAGUCUGGAGCACAAAGCACCAGUUGAGUUUUCUUCUCUAUCGAACCAGCCGACUUCAAAACUGAGCAUUGAAGCCAGCAACUUCUCACGUACCCUCUUUGUCAAGCUCUCGCCAAGUGCCGCAAAGCUGCAAUGUUGCACAAUGUUCACAAUGAACGAAGCAACUCCCAGACCGAGGAAGGCGUAGACGUGAAUUCGAACUGUUUGGUGAAGCUUCUCUACGUCAGUCGUGUAGUAGCUUGCGACCAUGCUACCAAGAAGAAAUGCGUAAAACGGAUGGACGAAUCCAAAAGACACUGCACCCCAGAGUCCCAGAAGGCCUUGCUUCCACUCGGGCUUGUUUAGUGCCAGAAGUCUGGCAACGGACGGCUUCUUAACUUUUGGCUUGCUCUUCACCUUCCUGCUGGUUCUUGAUGGAAGUCUUGUGUACCUGUUAAUAUCCUUCUCACUGGUUGCUGAAAGUUCCACGUCGACGAGAUCCCCUUCAGUCGCCGAUGAGACUUUCAUGACUUGUUCUGUUGCGGGAUUGAUUUCAUAAUGCCCGGAGCUGUUUGCUUGCUUCAUGAGUAGAGAAGCGUACACCCCCGUCUUCUCAGCUACAAGCUCUUCGUGACUGCCGGAUUCGACCGCUAUACCAGAAUCCAUAACUACAAUCAGAUCAGCUUCUUGAACUGUCGAUAACCUGUGAGCCACUAUGACCGUUGUCCGCUCCAUACGUGCCCUUUCUAGUGCUUGCUGAACUGCUUGCUCCGAGAGACUGUCUAGAGCACUAGUCGCUUCAUCCAGCAAAAGAAUUGGCGGAUUUCGAAUCAAUGCUCGUGCUAUGGCAAUUCUUUGCUUUUGUCCACCAGAAAGCUGAACACCACGUUCUCCAACCUGAAAUAAUUAUAGUAAGACAAAAUUUGGAUUUAGAAGUGAGCUUACUUGUGUGUCGUAGCCUCUCGGCAUUCUCUGUAUGAAGUCGUGCGCGUUGGCAAGUUUUGCUGCGUGAGUAAUCUCUUCCAUGCUCGCGUUUUCUUUCCCAUACAAAAUGUUCUCCCGUAUCGAAGUUGCAAAUAAUCCCGGCUCUUGGUUCACCAGUCCCAUCUGCCUUCGCAACCACAUAAGAUGCAAUUCUCGAAUGUCCACGUUGUCAAGCAUAACUUGACCAGCAACAGGAUCAUAGAACCUUUCUAUCAGAGAAAUGAUGGUGGACUUUCCAGAUCCACUGCUCCCAACCAACGCGACCGUCUUUUCUGAAGGCAAAAUAUAUGCGUAAGUACGCCAAACUUAUGCUCUGGAAAGGAGAACGUACUGGCUGGAACGUGAAGAGUGAAAGAUUUCAAAACCAGAGCUCCCGGUCUCGAAGGAUAUGCGAACUCAACCUCUUUGAGGUCCAAGUUACCUUCAACUUUGCUAAGCGUUUUCCCACUCGAAUCAUUUGUGUCGAUAGGGGGAACGCGUUGAAUCAUUUUGAAAAUUCUGGUACCAGCUACACGUCCUUCUGCAAAAGCUUUCAUGUUGGGCGUAGCAUUUCCCAAAGCUCUGGAAAACGCCAUGAGAUCACCAAGACAGAAACAAAAUAUUUUUAAAAAACUUACAUGCCACCAGAAAGCACCGCAAAUCCUGUUGUCAAAACUUGACCACCAUUUGCACGGUGUUGCAUCACAAGCUCGCUGCCAUACCACGCCAUGAAGGCCCACAGGGCGAAGUUGAUGCCACUGGAACCCAUGGCAAGUCCUUUGGCAAGUCCUUGUUUGAGUCCAAGCUUCACUGUGCCAUCCAGGGCUGCCGAAUACUUCUCUGUCGUCUUCUUCUCUGCCACGAAUGAGUAGACCGUUCGGACCGACGACAGUCCUUGUUCAGCAAUUGUUCCUGCUUCUUUGUAUGCGCUCUGCCUACGAAUCGCAAACUCGGACAGAGCCUUGCUGUACAGUGAGCCUGGAAUUAUCAACAGCGGGAAAAACGGCAGCAUCACAAGUGCUAGCCUCCAUAUCUGUGUGAAUCCGACGAAGUAUCCACCCACGAAGUGGGAUAAGUUUUCGAUAAAGUUCCCAACCUGCAAGCGUAACAAGAUUUUCUUUAGAUAAAUGUAAGCAAUAUCGGAAAGGGUUUCACCUUCUCGCUAAUCGCUUCUUGUACGAGAAGUGUGUCCACUGAAACAUUUCCAACAACCUCAGCUGUGGACAUGUCGCUGUCAAAAUACCCCACAUUUUGCCUGAGAAUCGCACGCAAGUAGUCUGCACGGAUUCUUGCCACUUGCCGUUCUCCAGUCUUCAUCCAGCAGCUUACUUCUGUAGGAUGCCACCAGACAAAGUUCAUCAGCACCACAAUUUUAAAACGGAACCUUACAACGAAGGAAGGGAAAGUCUCACCGAGGUACGAGGCCACCAAAGCAACAGCCGCUGUGUAUACCAAGAAUGUCGCAUCCUGGAAAACUUGGGUGUUAGGGGCGAAUGAUAAAAAAAAACGUUCGGCCUAAGUAUGAAAACAUUGAACAUUUUGCACGAAUUCGCACAAGGCAUUCGACCCACAACGGAGCUGCCUGGUGUCACUUGUGUGAUUGCGUGCUCGGCCAAGUUUUUGGUGGCACGCCACCGCCCUCACACCUAACUCCGCUAUCAAUCCAAAGCAAGCACGAAGAAACAAAUGAAGAACAAAAAAGAAAAUGAAGAUCGAGAAAAGAAAGCCAUACUCAAAUCUCUGCCAUGCCAAUUUAAAUGCCCAGAGCAGGCAUUUGUUGGUGCCAGCCAGGAGGAGCAUUCCCCGCUUACACACACUCGAGAGUCUUGCUUGGGCUCGCUGAUCUAAAGCCAGACCAGCAUUAGCGAAGAAAGGAGCUUUCUUCACAAACAAGCUAGAUUCUCACACAAUCUCAAUCAAAAAGAGGAAAAGCCGGAAGGAAAGAAAGCAUUGAAAAGAAAUAAAGAAUCCAGGGAGCGAUUUGAGGAUCGAUCGAUUUGAUCUUACCUCAGAUACUCUCCUCGCCAGCUCCACGGGACGAUUCUGGAGGCUCCCGAAAUUGUUGAUGAGGUGGCUCUGGACGACCAGAAUCGCCGGGAAGAUCAAGCCGCUCACCAUCGCCGCCACCGAUCCGACGAGCAUCAGCACCACAUCGUAGCGAUCCGCGUAGCUGAGGAGCUGCCAGUAGGAGACGACCUCUCUAUCGCCGCCCCCGCCCGGCUCCUCCUCGGAUUUCUUGGAAUUCCCUGCGCGAUCGGCGCCGCCGGAUGCAUGGCGCCGCCCGGGGCAAGAAAUCCUCGCCAUGCAUUCCCUGCCGCAUCCGACAUUGCGAGCUCGCCCUGGGAAUCGUGAUGCCUCGCCCGGCGUCGCUGGAAUUGGGGCCAUGGACACCGAAAUAUUUGGCAAGCCGCGGAGAUCACACACUCGAUACCAUCAAUCAUGCGCUUUCGAUGGCGGUGUGGCCCCGGAUCACAGAAUCAUAGAAAUCGCUCGCUUGCGGCCUAAGAAGCGUCGCGCAUCGAUCAAGCCCACCGCGUUUGAGCGACACAAAGAAUUUAAAUAGGGCUAUUCUCAAAGCGCCACACUGUAACAGGUGUAUGGCGAAAUGGCUCUCUUCCAGGGCGAAUUUAAAGGAAGCAAACUAAGCGAUUAGAAAAAAGAAAAAUGGGAGUCUAGCCUGGAUGGAAUGAACGAAAGCUUGGAUAGAUUGGUUCCAAUGGAAGUGUUGUUUCGCAAAAAAGGAGCUUCUCUGCACUCUACACAUCCACACACCAUUUUCAUGAUGCGGAUUUAUAGGCACACAUGAACUUGUACGGGAAAAGGACCAUCCUUUUAUUCUCGAUUUUAAUACUUUAAUAUACACAGCAAUAAAAUAAAAUAGUAUUUUUUCUCCUGAACUUCGAAAAAUAUUAUAUUUUAAAGCUAUAAUGAACAGCGGCAACAGAUAAGUUAUAACGUUGUGCCUGCGCUGGCUCAAUGGGCGCGAGACAUGUAAUAUUCGGUCCCCAUAUUUUGUGAACGGUGUCAAGCACUCGCGCUUGUUUAAGCUGUGCUUUCGUGGGAAUCGCAUGAAUCGAAGGUUUGUUUUCGAUUGUAACACCAGCUGAUUGCAGAAUCUGGAUCCAAACUGCUCUAUUGAACUUGACAGCAAAAAUUAGACUAUAAAACCCAAUGAUAUUUUUCACUGUACCACUGUUUGCAUCACUGAAUUCAUAAUCAGUGUCUUGCUUUUAAACUGGAUAGAAUAAAACACACAGGGGUGGCACAAGGUUGAGUGGAGCUGGGCAUAUGCUGGGGCGAGGAGAAUGCCCUUGCCCUUUUUAACAGGCAUCAAAUAUUUGUGGAGAUUUGGCUGCACUGCACACAAACUCUUCUAGCCCCUUCCCUUUGCUCAAAGUUGGUGGCAAACACAAAAAGAAUGUCCCCUUCUUGGGGCAGAUGGUGCAAGUGUUGAUGGAUGCAUUUGUCUUCCUUCCAUCUCUCUCUCUCUCUCUCUCACACACACACACAUACAUGUGUGUGUGUGUGUGUGUGUGUGUGAUCACAAAAGGUCUCCAUCUGGGCUUUUCCUGCAACUUGCAAAUUUCUUUUGUGUCCUGCUGUGUAUAGAGCUCUCAAUGCAAACAACUUGAGCUACUCUUGCUAAGAGGAGACAGUCUUUCAGCUAAGUAUUACAACAAAAUCACCAAAACCACCAGUUGCAUUAGACCAAGCUUUAGAUUCAAGAAAACUGUCUGGUUAAAGUUUAGCCAAAUACCAUGCCAACUUGUCUUGUUGGUCAAAGGCAAAGUCUCCUCCUAUCUUAAGAUUCUCCCUGGGCACCACAAGAUCAAAACAACACCUACAUACAACUUCUUUGAUAUGACUUCCUGAUCGAUUUCAACAGAAGAUUAGACGUCACUUCCUAUCACUCACACAGAACCUGGACACAUUCUCUCACAGGCCAAGAGGAUUGGGAAAGGGCGAUGUCGAUGAGGCCAUCCAAUUUGCUGCCGGAAUUGGUUUUGCUUGUACAAGGUAUUCUUUGGACAUGCACAAGGGACGGAAGGUGGCGUUUUUGGUGUCAAAAGAGGGUCCGUGCAAGAACCUCUGCCUGCUACCAAGGAGCACUUUGACGGAAAUGGUGGUCACAUGUCAAACCUCACAAAGAGGCUUUGCGGUUUGACAAUGGGCUACAGACGUGGCAGAGAUGACAGUCGAACAUUCGUCCUGGCAAAAGCUGGCAAAUAUCAGAGCCUAGCUCAAAUUUCCCGAGCAUAAUCAGGUCCAUGUUGUGGCAAUCACCUGCAGUGCCAGAUCCAAAGGGACAUUUGUGUGCUCAACUCUAGACGCUUCAUGGUUUACAGUGGCCACCUUUUUUAUUUCCCAGUGGCAUGCAGCUGGAAAGCAAAGAAAACAGAAAAGACGAGCUGAAUAGAUAAGAGGUGUGCAAAGAAGCAAAGGCAGUGCUCACGCCUCACAUAGAGAAUGCACUCCUACAGAGCACCAUACUUUAUUCCGACUGCUUAGUGCUGUCUAAGAUAUAUAUUAAAUUUAUAAAAGUUGGCAAAACUAAUUUUUGGUUGCUGAAACAAGCAAGGGAAUCUAAAACAGGUGCCAUGAAACUCGUGCAGAGGAAGUGGCCCUCACCAAGUGGACACAGGCCGGCUUUUUACAUGUGAUACUCUUGCCUUGAGUGUCAAAACUUCUGCCACGUCCUAUAGACUUGGAGCACGACUUUGAAAAUGAAACUGCAAAGAAUUUGUAGAAAUUCAAGCCUUCUUGUUGGCAAGACGAAUUGGUGGCUGGAAUUCAUCGGUUCAAGCUUCAGCUGUUCACAGCGUUGUGAUCACAGCGACCUCGUGAUGGUGAUUUUGAUGGAGCCAAAGCCGGGUCGACGCGAAAGAGUUCUAUCUUUGUCCAAAUUGCUUCCAUUAUCAUCUAAAUUAGGUGUAAGACCACUGAGUUGUCCCUCUUUUCAGUGUUGGAUGACUUUGAUCUUUGUCUAGAGAUUUUUCCAGGGGUCGUUGUCUUCCCUUUUGCUGGAUGAACUUCAGCCUAAAGUCUAAAAGCCCCGGAAUCUUUUCCGUACUCUCACACCAACGUCACAGCUCCAGAUCUGUAUAUGUCUCAUCAAAUCACUUUGGAUUUUUACAAAUCUAUCUAGCCCAAGAGAUUAGAUCGGAAUGGCAUAGAAAUUCAUAGUGCUUUGCGCUGUUAAACAAGCGAGUCGCAAUCUCAAUCGCGCCAGUAAUGUGUCCGUAGACGUCACUCACUUCGUUGGACAAAAAUUUCAAGACGACCUCUAUUGACCGGAUCGAAGUCGCUAUAUACACACACAAAGCGUGAUCGAUACGAUUGAUUGAACCCGCGCUAACACACGCAACAUCAAACUAACAUAUUUUCGAAAGUUGGCCAUAGAGAAAAUAGGAGGAGCAUGUCAAAGAGCAGGAGGGGCCAGUCAAGCGUGGGACUUCGGGAAAUUCUCUGAAAAGUGGCAAGGGAAAAGCGCCUAUCAGACACAAGGAUUACUAUUGGUACCAUUAUUGAAGCUCGCAGAAAGGAUGAAAAAUUAAUUUAAAAUUACGACCUUUUCAAAAAAUUAAAUAUUAAAAAAUAAAAAAAAACCUGAGAAAAGAGUAACUUACGUGUUCUCCACUUUCACUGCCUGACAUCAGCCACUCUAUCAUUCUCACCACAAACACACACACAUUUUCUUGUGUCGAUCAAUUCAUCGCUCUCGUACCCUGCCGGUCGUCCUAUCAACAAGAAUUUACCCGACAAAAGCUUCCACAUCUUUUGGCGCCUGGAGUGUAGAUCCGAAACUUCUAGAAGACUUUGACUAUAAUGUCACCAUUCCCUUGACCUAAGAAGUCAACAUGUUUUGACCGUAGAGUCAAAAUUAGUCAAACAGAAUCGAACCUUGAAACGAUGCUUGGGGAUAUAGGGCUUUUUCGUUUGUAGGGUUCUUCGGGGCACUUGUAGCGAAGGAAUGGCGAUGUGGAGGGGAGGGAUUCUCCGAGCUGCGUCUCGGCUCCAUCCGGUAAGCCCAGGGAUCCUGCAUUUUGGAUUGAUUGAUCUUGGAUGCGGCAGCCGGUGAGGUCUGGAUUCGAGGGCGUGUCAUGCCGAGCGUUUGCCGAGCAGGCAGAGGAGGAGCCAAAAGGUGUGAUUUUGAGCAAUUCUUGCGCGCUUUCUUACGGUUUUCUCUCAUAGAUAUUGUCAAGGAGAAAUUCAUCGAGAAGCUGGAGCUUUUGUUCAACUUGACUAGGGAGUUUAGAAAGUUCCGGAUUGUCAUCGACCCUGAUGAUCCCAAGGUUGUCAAGGAGCUCUCGGAUAACAUCUUGCAAGCCCGAUCGAAGUAAGUCAUCCAGCGAUCAAAGUUUCCAUUCAUCUUUUUCGUUUUCUUUUUCUUGUGGAACAGCGUUGGCUUGCCUCCUCCAGAAGUGCAGCUACAAAAUAUGAUGGAAGGAUUGGCGCAGCGAUCCAAGUCUGUGCGCCAGUUUUACGAGAAGCUUGGCCGCUUUCAAGCCUCGUAAGUUCUCCUGUUUCUCUGUCUGGCCGGUGUCACGAAUUUCGUCCUUCUUUUGUUCCUCCAGCAAAGGCAUGGAAGACGUCGAGGGCAACAAGGCAAUGAUGGAAGUGAUCGACGCAGUAGAGAGUAAAAUCGGUAAGCCGCUCACUCGAGAUGACAAGGAAGGCAUGAAGCUGUUUGAGGAACAAAGCGCUGCUGCGUUGAAGAGGUAACGUUGGUAUACACUCGAUCCACUAAACUUCUUUCUUUGCCAGGCUUGACACCGAUCCAGAGAAAUUCGACGAGUACAUGGAGCAGCGAAAUCUCGACAAGGCCAAGUUGCUGCUGCUGACAAUGAAGAAAGGAGCGUCAGAGACAAUCGAUAGAUUCAUGAAGUACGUACCGGGUGUUCUCCCUGUUCAUCUGUUUGAUCUUUUCUUGCAGGGACAAAACCGACUUUGAGCUCAACUAUAAAGAGCUCGAUGCCCGGACCUUCCUCCGCUUGCCUGGAGAGGGCUUCCAAAAGCCAGCAGCGUGAAAACACCAGUAUCGAAGAUUUCAAAAGAGAGAGGCAAAGAACCUGAAUAACCAAUUUUGGACUGAAGCUUUGGAAAAUCUCUGUAUUCUUUUCUUUCGUUGUCCUGAUAAUGUUGAUAAUCUGGAUGGAUGCUCGGCCUGGGCUCAGCACAACAAAAGCAAAACACAGCCUCGAUUCGAUAUAAAGAACAAAAGUUACAAAAGUGUAGAGUGGUCAAAAACGAGAAAGAAGAACAAGAGAGAAAAAAAAAGAAUGGGAACCUGGCUCUCUCUAGUAUGUAUAUUAUUACUCCACGACGACGACGACGAUCUUCAUACCUGCUGCUGUCGAAGCUUAUUCUUCCUCCCAAAGGUAAGAACCAACGAAGGAAAGCUAGUAAUUGUAACCAUACCCGUAUGAUGCUCCGCCCAUUCCCAUGCCGUAAGAAUAGUGGCCAUACUGAGGAUGCCCGUUCCCGUAGUAACUCGUGUAGCCAUACUGCCCUUGCAUCCCAUUUUGCUGGUACUGGUUCCAUAGCUGCUGCUCCUGAGUGAGAAGCCUUUGCUUUUGCUGCAUGUCCGCCAUUUGCACGAACGGUGGCGGAGGAACACCGAGCGAGGCCGAGAAGGGGUCCUCGUCCACCGUCCCGGACGGAGCUGGAAGCGCGAGAUAGUUCGUCGGCUUGCCCGGGAUCGCGACACUGCUGGCGCUCCCGGCCGGCAUGCUCGACACCGCCUUUUGAGCCACGCUGCCUUGCUCGUACAUGCUGUCGAGGAGGAGCUGGUCGAAGUUGCCGGCGAGUGAGGUGGUGGGAGUCUUGGCGAGAUUGCUGGCCUCGGUCACCAACGCAAGCUCCCACCCGGCUUUGCCAUUCUCCGAGUAGGAGGCGGCGCUGCCGCCAUUGGCCUGGGGAGUGCUCGAGCCGAACGGCUCCCACUUUCCAUUCGCCGACGGAGCGUCGGAGAACAAGGCCAGCGCGAGCCUGUCACCCUCGGCAACCAUGGUCGACUUGUCCAGGUUGAGAAGGUCGGCGUCCUUCUCCUCUACCUGUGGCUCCGGCUCCGGAGCGGGAGGCUCCACUGGAGGCGCUGGCAAGGCCUUGAUACCAUUGUAAUCGAUGUCCUCGGGCUCCGACUCCUCGGCCUUGGGUGGCGGACUGGGCUCAGGGCUCUUUGGUCUCUGAGCGCGAGAGCCAGAGCGAGAUCUCUCCCUGAGCGAGUCUUCCAGAGUGUCUAGAUGGUCCUGCGCCACCUUGACUAUCGUGGGGUAGUCCGAGGACCUUCCCACUCCGAUGUGCUUGCAAACGUUGUAAAAGGAGUCGAGCUCCUCGGACUGCUUGGCGGACUUCGCAUAGAUGUCGAAAGCCUUGGUUGACUCCUGAUACUCCAUGUCAAAGAAGGCCUCCAGGAGCACCGUGAUGCCGUCUCGGAUCUCUCCAUACAACUGGAAGCUCUCCUUGAUGAUCAUGUAGAGGCAGAUCUGGGUGAGACGGUGGUACCGCGCAGCACCCGCGGGCCUGCAAGCCAGCAUACGCUCCAUGAUCCGCUGCAUCACCGGCAGCUUCUCCAGCAGCAUGUCGGGCUUCAUGUCUUUCGUCUUGAGCUGGCCGGUGGUUUGUCUCGGAGGAGAUUCUCGUCGUCUAUCAUCGUAGUAGUCCCUGGAAUCGCUGUAUCUGUACUCCUCGUUCCUGUAGCCACCACCAUCGUAUCCUCCACGCUCACGCUUGGGCGCUUGUCCGGGAGAAAAGACAUGGCAGUCGAGGCGCUCGUCGAGGUAGAGCGCGUAAGUCCGAACGAACGCCGUGUAGUCCCACCCAUUGGACCGCGACUCGUCCGUGAAGGCUGAGAGCAUGAGCAUUCUCCUCCCCAUUCUAGCCAGCUCCUCCUCGAAGGUCGGAUCGCCUUCUCGAAGCAGGCGAUGCGUGACCAUGAGGGUUUUGAUGGCGACCACCCAGUUCCUCGUCUUGCCGAGCCGCCUGGCCAGCAGCCCCAGGCACGCAUUCACGUAGCCUCGCGAGUAGGAGGUCAGGUAGAGGAGCUCGUGGACGUACUUGUCAUCCACGGGCACCUCUUCAUGGCUUGUGGCCUUGACGACGGCAACCUCGAGCUCUGGAACGCUGGAGCCCGCGACCUUGGCGAUGCCGAUGGUGGUCUGAUCCUUGACGGCCCCCAGCGCCUUGCGAAUAGCCCGCGGCGCCAUUCCCUUGUUCCCUGUCCCGCGAGAUUUCCACCGAAAAGCUCGAAAUUUCCAGAGAUUUCAGCCUGGAACGAUCCCGCGGCACCAGAUCGGGAGAUGUCGGUGGAAAUCCUCACCGGAGCUGAGAAAAUGCUCUACGAUUCCUGCCUAGAAAUGAAAUACCAUACCGUGACUAGCAGAUUUCUCACGCGCUGGCGGACGAGCCGCAGCGCCCUGAGCGAUUUGUCGCAGCGAUCGAGCUAGAGCGGCAAAAAUGCGCCUAGAUCUAGACAGCACAAAGCUCCAUAUCUAGGGCGGCACCUACUAUACGCGCACGAAGGGCAAAACACACCCUGUUGCCUUUACUUUGAGAGCAUAUUCCGGCAAAGCUGUCUCCAAAAAGGAGCAUAUUCCGUUUGCAUGCCCAGUAAAACGUCAAUUUCUCCAUCCAACGGCCACAAGCGCGUUGAUUGUUCAACGCUUUUUGACGUGGCAUGCCACGUGUGCUUGUGUGGGGAUCCAACGGUGCAGCGCCGGUGCUGGAAUCGAUGGCGGGGAUGCCUCGUGGCUUAUCAUCUUCACAGAAUUAUUAAGCUUUUCUUUUGUUUCACAGGGGCAGAGUAGGAGGACGAUGGCGAUGGCGCAUUCCUUAGGGUUUGGAGCCCUAGCCCUACAUUGGCGCGAUGGAGCACCGGGCGCGGCCACGUCCUCCUCGGUGCGGUUUUACCGCAGUCGGAGAGCUCCUCAGCGCCUGGUACUCUCGCCUCUCUCGAAUCGCGAGCGAUUGUCCGUCCGGUGCCAAAGCCGCAGUCCAGGUAAAUUCUAAGUUCUUCCAGCAUUGGAGCAGUAUGUAAUUCGCAAAUGCAGCACAAGAUCAGGCUGCUGGAUCGGCAGAGCUUCAAACUGUCUCGGUUCCUCCAACGCAACCAGCUUACAUGUAAGUGAAUGGAGUAUUACUUCCUUGGCUAAUCUAUUACAUUUUGUCUCUGCCUUUGUAACUUAGUGGUUCUCCAUUGCUUUGGGUUGGAGUUGGCGUUGGCCUCUCGGUUCUUUUUUCCUGGGUACGCAAUUUUCUCCCUUUUUUUCAUUCGCUUUGCUGACACAAAUUCUCGUACUUUGUUCCAGGCAGCUAACUACGUAAAGGUAGAAAAUUCACGUAUUACAAAUCCAGUCUUAACUUUCGUGUUUUUCCAGAAACAAGCUAUGCAACAGGCACUCAAAUCGAUGAUGUCUGGCCCUGGACAAAACCAAUUUGGCAAUAUGCCCAUUCCUCCGUUUCCAUUUCCUGUCCCGCCGCAGCCACAGCAGCAACCGAUGCAAACUUUUCAACCACCAGUUUCUUCUUCCCAGGCUACUCAACCUCAAGCAUCCGCUUCCGCUACCGCUGUUGUCGAAAGUACCGAAGCGACAUCGUAUUCCGAGACGCAGACGCCCACGCCAGUCUCGGAGAAUAACAAACCCGGUUUGUGUCUUUGUUCUCAAUGCUACGCUAUUCACGAGCUAAAGUUGCUGUUUCGCAGCAUUCACUGAUGUAAAUGUGGAGGCGGAAGUAUCUACUGUUAAAAUAAACGCUGAGGCAACAGAGGUGAAGGAAAAUGCGAACGACGUGUUUUUCAAGGAUGCAGAGGUUAGUGCGAGUUUAAGUGGAUUUUUUCUUGAGUCUGACUUUAUUCUUUGAAGGUAAGAGAUAGCGGAACAGGUUUCACUUGGAACACUGACGGUGCGGCUUCAACAUCAUCUUCUGAUGGUAAGAGCUAAAUUUUCGGUGAGGUGCCAACUCGUUUUCUACAGGAAAAGCAAAUUCUUUUUUCUCGGUUGAGAAUUUGGAAAAGAUGCUUGAGGAUCCUACGGUUCAACAAAUGGUUUACCCGUAAGGAUUCACUAUUGUCACUUAAAUCGACACUAAUGCUGUUGUCUGCCAGGUACUUACCACAAGAAAUGAGAAAUCCCAGCACUUUCAAAUGUGAGUAAUAGGAGUAGAAAAAUUGCUGCUGAUGCUCCGGUUUUCAGGGAUGAUGCAGAAUCCUCAAUUCAGGACCCAGCUCCAGGAGAUGCUGUAAGUUUCUUGUCACGUUCUCCACACUGUUCUGAUCUGUUUUGAACAGCAAUAACAUGACCGAGGAUGGGGCCUGGAAGAACGGACAAAUGGGGGACGUGCUGAAAAACUUCAAUCCCAAUAAUCAGGAACUAAAACAACAAUUUGGUAUGGUUGCGCUUAUCACGUCUUCUCACGCUCAUGACAAGCUUUGGAAUCACAGAGCAAAUAGGACUGUCCCCGGAAGAAGUGAUGGCGAAAAUGGUAGCAAAUCCAGAGAUAGCCAUGGCUUUCCAGAAUCCCAAAAUCCAGGCAGCACUCAUCGAUGUAAGACAGCACGCAUGUUUUCCUUCGUCCAGGAGCUAAUCUUUGUUGUGGUUUGAUGCGCAGUGCUCCCAGAAUCCUACCAACAUAACGAAGUAUCAGAACGAUAAAGAGGUGAGUUAGUCUCUUGUGUUCUCCGUGUUCUUCUAUAAAUUUUUUUUUCUCUCUUCCAGGUCAUGGAUGUGUUUAAUAAGAUUGCCGAGCUAUUCCCAAUCAAAGGCUUUUGAUGAAACGCCAGGACCAGAUUUAGAGAACAGAAAUUUUUGGAAGGUUAUACGGCGUGAUCCUUUCUUUGGCUCGAAAGUGCCACGAGAGAAAAAAAGAAAAAAAAAGAAGAAAGCCUGUGUACAUUAAACUUAAGACAAUGGGCUUGGAUUUCCUCUUUGAAAUAGAAUUUGCGCAGUGGAUGAGAGAAAGAAUGUCGCUCGGCGUGUAGGGUUUGAGCGGGGGAAUGGCGCGCGAGAGGCUGGAUUCCGGCUGGAUUGCUGCGCGAGCGAAUCAAGUCCAGCGGACAGGCGAGGAGCUCACGACGACGCAUGCGCCUUCGCUCAAGAUCGAUCCAUGGAUGGACGCUGUUGUUCCUGGGACGUAAGUAGAGAUUAUGCAUCGCUUCUACAGGGAUUCCGUGAUUUCCAGCAGUUCUGGUGCUUUCUUUCUAGUGUUUUGGCGACGCUCCUCAAGAAUGCGGCCAUUCCCGAUCCUUUCUACGGCAUGGAAAAUCAAAACGUUCCCGAUAUCGCUGAUGCUGGGAGAGAUUUCUACACGUUUUGGUUCUGCAACAAAUUUGCCACACCCGAGGUACUUACCUUACAAAUCCAUUCGAAUCGUGUCAGUCCUUUCACUUCGUUUUCUUUCUUUGGGUUUUAGAGAGCUUUCAAGCGUGCAUGGCUGCACUUUCGAGCUAUCAACUAUUCUGCCGAAGUUUACGUCAAUGGAUCAAAGUAUAGCCUUCCAGGAGGAAUGUUUUUCCGGCACAAGCUAGACAUAACAGAUGCUUUGAAGAAGACUGGGAUCAACAACUUGGCUGUCUUAGUGCAUCCUCCGGAUCAUCCUGGUCGGAUUCCAGCCGUGGGUGGACAAGGUGGCGAUCACGACGUAAGUCUUGACUGCUCCAGUGACGCAAAGAGAGAUUGAAUUUGUCUCGUUUUGUGGAGAAGAUAGCGAAGGAUGUAGCAGCACAGUACGUCCAAGGCUGGGACUGGAUUAUUCCUAUUCGGUAUGGCCUUGUUUUCGUUUUGUCUAGCUUUUAGUUCAUCGUUCUUGGUCUUUCACUUUUCAGCGACAGAAACACUGGAAUAUGGGACGAGGUUUCGGUUUCAUUCACUGGGGUACAUAUGUGUGCAAAGUUUGCCUUUCUAAAUUGUUUUCUGUUCUGAAGGUGGCGAUUUUGGGUGAUCCACAUCUUGUGGCGACUUUUCACGACGAUUACAAGCGAGUGUACCUCGUCGUCUCCUCGGAAGUCACAAAUACAACGUCCACUGCCAUCAAGUGCACGGCGAAGCUACAAGUGUCAGCAGAUGCUGAUGAUGGCUUCUUCUCAGUUGAAGGUGUCCAGUCACAGCCAUUAGAAAUUGCCUCUGGAGCUACUACGCUGUGCUCCUUCGAGCCUGUGAGUUUAUACAGUCUGUAGUCUUUGAUAUUUACUACCUGUGUUUUGCAGCUUUACUUCUAUAAGCCUCGGCUAUGGUGGCCAAAUGGCAUGGGAGAACAGGCUCUUUACCAAGUCGAAAUCUCACUCGAGGUCAACGAAAAUGGAGAGUCUGAUAGCUGGUGUCACAACUUUGGAUUCCGUAAAAUCGACAGCUUUCUGGACCCUGUCACGAAGAGCAGGUAUGUUCUCUGUUUCUUCCUUUUUCUUUUGGAUUUUUCUCCUACAUGUCUAUACGUUGCCAAUGUGCAGGCACUUCCAAGUUAACGGGCAACCCGUGUUUAUCAGAGGAGGGAACUGGAUCGUCUCCGAUGGUCUACUCCGUUUAUCAAAGGAGCGAUACGAAACAGACGUCAACUUUCACGCAGAUAUGAACAUGAACAUGAUUCGAGUGUGGGGAGGAGCUUUGGCUGAGAGGCCCGAGUUUUAUGACGCGUGUGAUAAACGCGGAAUUCUGGUAUCGAUCCUUCUCAUAGAUGCCUGAAGUUUCGAGUUUCUUUUUCUUUCCACAGGUCUGGCAAGAGUUUUGGAUCACAGGUGAUUGUAACGGUCGUGGAGUUCCUCCUUCCGAUGCUAGCUGGCCGCUAGAUCAUGCACUGUUUCUCAAAUGUGCACGGGACACAGUUAAGUUGCUGAGAAAUCACGCAAGCCUCGCGUUAUGGGUCGGGGGAAACGAACAGCAUCCGCCAGAAGAUAUCAACCAGGCCUUGAUGAAAGACUUGAAGCUGACGCAGGCAGGGUCUUACGAGAAUCCCAGCCAUCUUUUGGAUGGAACUCGCUUGUACAUCCAAGGCUCGCUGUGGGAGGGAUUUGCAGCAGGCACAGGAGAGUUUCGAGACGGUCCGUAUAACAUUCUGAACCCGGAAGACUAUUUCCAGGACGGCUUUUAUGCCUACGGCUUCAACCCGGAGGUUGGAUCCGUCGGAGUUCCUCUUGCGGCUACGAUAAAAGCAACAAUGCCAGAGUCAGCGUGGGACAUUCCGACGACACAAAAGGUCUCUGACGGGCUUGUCAGAGAGAUUCCAAAUGCAACUUGGACACUCCACACCUACAUUCCUUACGCCAACCCGGACAAAAAGGUUCCACACCAGAUUGCGAAGUAUGGAGAUGCCACCGAUCUUGACGAUUUUUGCGACAAGGUAACGUCGCUGUUAUAACUGAUCAUUGCAAAAUAUGUUCUUCCUUUGUGUACAGGCCCAGCUCGUGAAUUACGUUCAGUACCGUGCUCUCAUGGAGAGCUGGAACUCGCGAAUGUGGACCAAGUAUACGGGAGUCCUUAUCUGGAAAACUCAGAACCCCUGGCCUGGUCUGAGAGGCCAGCUCUACGACUAUUUUUUGGAUCAAACAGGUGGUUUCUACGGCGUGAAGUCUGCGUGCGAGCCCGUUCACGUUCAGUAUAACCCUGUCACCUACGCGAUCGAGGUACUCUUUUGUAUUUUUCGUGUGCGUAUUUUCCCCGUGAACCACUACUAUCCUCUUUCAGAUUGUCAAUACUACACGAAAGAGCUUCCAGGAUACGCGAGUUGAAGCGGCAGUGUGGGAUUUAAAAGGCAACUCACCAUACCAAGAGACAAUGGCCAACUUCAAAGUGCCAGCCUACAAGACGAUUGUCGUAAUGAAGCUGACUCCUGCAAGUUCCUGGUCGGAGGUCUAUUUCCUCCUCCUUAAGCUCGUCGAUAGCUCGGGGACAUCCAUCUCCAGAAACUUUUACUGGCUCCAUCAAUCCGGGGGCGACUACAAAGCUCUCAAGAACGAACUGGCACCGGUUCCAGUAAAGAUGUCGCUCAAGAGCAGCUCUCGCAAUGGCAACUUCAACAUUAAUGUCGAGAUUGAAAAUCUAUCCAGGAGCAACAGCAGUAGCAGCUCUAGCUCCAGCUCCAGCUCCAUCUCUCAGAGAUUCUCAGAGCUCCUCUUCUCAACAUCUCCAGCGGUGGCAGCAAGAGGUGUGGCUUUCUGGCUCCGGCUCUCGGUUCACUCGAGAAACAAGCGAUCCCAGCUGCGAAGCACCGACACGCGACUGCUUCCAGUGAGCUACUCACAGAACUAUUUCUCCAUAGUUCCUGGAGAGAAGCUUGCGGCAUCCAUCUCGUUCCAGAGUAGCACGAACGACGCUCCAGAGAUCCUCCUCCAAGGCUGGAACAUUGGCAAAGCCAGCAUUGCGCUCCCACACAACAAAAGACGCCAUAGAGUUUCUAUGUACUUGUAAGUUAUUAGUAUUAAUAGAGCUUGAUUUGUUUAAAGAAUACUCGCUUUCAUGAAUAUACUUUUACUGGUAAAAGAAUAUUCUCCUUGCAAGUGAGUGUGUUCCUUGCUAAUCCCGUCCUCGGCUUGUGUGUGGUGCUAUAUACUGGAAUUUUAGGGAUGCGAGCUCCCAAUCCUCGACUCUAGGGCUUUUAUUCUCUCUUGUCUCUCUCCUCUCUCCCCUGUCCAUCGAUCGCCGUGACGUGCAUUCUCCAGCAAGUAGCGACCGAAAUUCGCGCGAUCUUGGAGCUUCUUGGAGAGAGAUCGAUCGAUCUGACUCGAGGGAGUGAGAGAAAUUUCUAACGCGGCAGCAGCACGGCACAGUGACCUGGACUAGGUAAUCCGGUUUGUCAUCUUGCGACUGCGACCAAUUCCAAGGCAUCCAGGAGAGCCGAGUAGUGGAUCGUGAUCGCAGCAAGAGCAAUCUCUGGCCAGCUAGGUUUAUCGAUAGCAGUAGAUGUUAAAAUUUCUGGGCGAUGGCUAGCGAUCACGACGCCACCAGGAACAGGCGGCAGCACCGCAGCGGCAUGGUGGCUCUGGCCGAUUUGCUCAAGCAGGAGCACCUGAUCGAGAGGAUCGAGAAAGUGGAGAAGAAUGCCAUCCCGGUGUUCGUGUGCGGGGAGUCCGGACAAUCCAAGAAGGGCGAGGAUUUUGCUCUCGUCAAGAUCGAUUGCGAGAGAAUUCCGGGCGAUGGAUCAUCCACAUUUGGAGUCUUUGCGGUGAGUGAUUGGAUUUUUCUCGUCUAGCGUUUUCGAUGCUUAAGUUUUUUUUUUCCCCAGAUUUUCGAUGGUCACAAUGGAUCGGCGGCGGCAGUACACGCAAAAGAACACCUUCUCAAGGACGUCAUGAGCGCACUUCCAUCGCGACUGGAUCGAGACGAGUGGCUAUCAAUUCUCCCCGAGGCAAUGAUCAAAGGAUUUCUAAAGACCGACAGGGAUUUCCAACAGAAAGGUAUCAAAUUCUCUUCUUUCUCUCAAUCACUCAUGCUUGCUUUCUGGAUUUUCUCGUUUUUUCUCUUGGGCUUGCUUUUGUUGGAUCUUCACGAGUUGGGAUUAACACUUCGAUGUGUUAACUUACCAGGACAAACGUCAGGAACCACCGUGUCUCUUGUGAUCGUCGAUAGAUGGACUGUGACUGUUGCGUCGGUUGGCGACUCUCGGUGCGUGCUGGACACUGAGGCCGGUGUAAUGCCAAUGACUGUUGACCACAGACUAGACGACAACGAAGCCGAGUGAGUGAAAUCUCGUGUGGCUAAACUCUCCUCGACUUUUCUUUGUUUGUUUUCCAGUUUUUGCAGCACUUAAUAGUUCGCUCAACUGUCUAACGAUGCCUCGCUAUGUGGUAUUUAAUGCAGGAGACAGAGAAUUGUCGAUUGCGGUGGCGAAGUCGGGAGAUUAAGCACAGCUCUCGGCGUGGAGGUGAGAGUAAUCUUCUUUUCUUCGUUUUGAGACAUGGAACUUAGUGGGCGAAGUUUUUAUUUUUCCUUUUCUUUCGUGCAGUAUGGCCCAUUGAGGUGCUGGCCAGGAGGCCUUUGCUUAUCAAGAUCCAUAGGGGACGCAGACGUGGGAGAGUACAUCGUGGCGGUGCCUUUCGUGAAGCAAGUGAAGGUAUUAGAAAAGUCAGCUCUCCCAGCAAUGAUCAUCCAUUGGGAACUUACUCUCUGUUUUUUUUUUCCCAGCUUCCCAAAACCGGAGGCCGGAUUAUCAUCGCGUCGGAUGGUGUGUGGGACGCACUCUCGACUGAGAAAGCUGCGAAGUGUUGCCGUGGAUUGCCACCCAACCUCGCGGCCAAGCAUAUCGUGAAAGUGAGUGAUGGUUGUUUUUUUAGAGCCGAAAAGAAAGUUCUCUCGGUUCGCUCGUCUUUGAAUCGCUGGCACUCACUGCUUCGUUUUGGAAAUUCUUUUAGGAGGCACUAGGAGUCGCAGGCCUACGAGACGACACAACGUGCCUGGUAGUGGACGUAAUCCCACCGUACAAGCCCCACCAGAAUGGGAGAUCGAGCAGUGACUCGGCCGUGCGAAGACCAUUAGUCUUGGAAGUUUUCGAGGAGGGAUCAGCCAAUCUCGCCGAAAGGUCUGCAAAUUUUCUCGUUCUCUUUUCUUGGAACAAAGAAAAAGUCUCUAGAUUGGUUGAUCUCUAUCUCUUUCUCUCUCGAUCGUGGACUAAAGAAGUUUCUUGUGCUACAGAACUGGAUUUCAAAGUCACAGGAUGGAAAACACGGUCGCCAUGUAAAACACAAAAGAGAAAAACAAAGGAUUUUUUUUUAAAAGAGAGAAUAUUCGCCCAUGGAUUCCUCGUCUUCUCUAUCCGCCAUGGCGUCCGCGGCGCUGGGAGAGAUUUCCAAGGUAUUUGAGCGCGCCCAGGAGCUGGGUCUUGAUCCGGUGGGGAGAAUGGUGCGUGAGAUUGGCGCCGGGAGGGAUCGCGAUAGGCAAAUCGUGCUCUACGGCGUCGGGCGCGAGGGAUUGAUGCUCAAGGCCCUGGCGAUGCGAUUGUUUCAUCUAGGGCUCAAGGCAAGCUGCGUGGGCGACAUGGGCGCGCCGCGAAUUGGCGCUGGCGACCUCCUCAUCUGCAGCGCGGGGCCAGGCCCCGGGAGCUUCGCGACCGUGGACGGGAUCCUACGUGUCGCGAAUAAGGACGGGGCACGUGUCAU